rnacentral:lncRNA from 1 species
CAGAAUAUGCAUGGGCCAUUAUGAAUUGCGAGGCAGCAGAAUCAUCAGAUUUGGAUAAACGAUUAAGGCCGGGCUGUUCCCUGGGUAUCCAUUCAGAGCGAAAAGUUCGUGGAGGAAUCGAUGGUUGUUCGUAGCUAAUGUCAUGUGGGUUUGCCCCCGAGUCUCCAUAGCCAGAAUUUGAUAUUCUACCAGAUCCGGAGAAGCCAUCUUCUGUGAACCUAUCAAGUUUUUCUUCCUGAACAGCAACAGGAGAUGCUGAACUCUGAACUUCUUCCUGACUCUUCUCAUUAAUUUUAGAUUGCAUAACAUCGUUUCCAACAACUGCCGAAGCAGUGAAAUUCGGAACUUCAACUCUAGAAACGUGACUUGAGGCGGAAUCAUUCAGUGGGUUCGAGGAAACAACUUUUUUGCAUUCCAAAGGCCACAAUUUUUCAGGCUCAUUUAUUUUCUGAAAAGAGCUUUCUACCUUUAUAUUUCCCUCCUCAGGCACUUCCUUCUCUCGAGGUUUUGCUUUACUAAGUUCAAAAAUCUCCCGGGGAUAGUUAUCUCUUUUCAGAUUCACUACUGUGGCAUGUGAUUCUUGGUCAUUCAUAUGUGAGCUCUCGUAAGACUGCUUGGGAUCGAUGCCUCCUUUCCAGUUCAUGUAACCAUGACUCGAACUUAUAAGAAAGUUAUUUGUAAGUUGUGAAGAGUUGGGUAGUUGAUAACCAUGGUUAUACUGCACUUGCUUAGAUGGAAGAACCAGGUUUUUGCCACCUACACCUGGAAAGUUGUCAACUGGUAUGGAAGAGGGUAAAGGUUGCCAUUCAGUGCCACCAUGAUGUACAGUUUGACCCAAGUAUUCUAGUUGAUUGGAGUCAUGCCCCAAGUUUGACCCAAGUAUUCUAUGUGAUGAAAUUGAUACCCCUUCAUGAGCAGAUUGACUUGUUAGAGGCAUGCCAAUGACUGGAUCAGAAGUAUCAGCCCCUGCCACAUGCCUAGCAACUUGACCAUCCUCCCCAGCAAUUGUUGCACUCAGAAACUCAUCCAGGUUUUUUUCUGAAGUGCUUGCCAGAGCAGUGGAGUUUCUUCUUGAACCAAAGUCCAUGUUAUUUACAGCAAUAACAUACUGCAUUUCUGGAUCUCCUUCAAUAUUCUCCAAACCAGCCAGAGAAUCAUCCAAGUCACUGUAAGAAAAGAGAAAUGUACGCAAUUUUUGUGAUCCAUCACCUUCUAAUACAUUAAAUUCCUCUAUCAUAUUCUGCAAGUCUUCAUCACAAGAAACUGACACUAAUGCAUCAAGAUCCUCACCAGGAAGCUGAUAUUUUAUUGUGUGACAAUUGUUAAAUAAAGUUAACAUCUUUUGCCAGAAUUCCUCCCAAGAAACAUCAUUUCUUAAACGGACGAGGUGCGUAUCACCUCCAAUAUAUCUAAGUUUCCCAUCACUUGGACGAGGCAUAAUUCUACCACCAAAACUGCAGAGGAACUUCAACUUUGUUAAUGUACUAGAUCUAGAAGACAUUUGACUUUGAAUUCCAUGAAUGUUGUUAUUUCUUGAUAAGGCUCUAGUUUCAGUUUGCACAGCUUGAUGGUUGCUUAUACCUUCAUUUACAGAAGUAGACCUCCCGUGAUGUUGAACUCGAGUUUUUCCAACUGAGGUGAUCAUGGCGAUAUCUGAUCCACUUUCAGAACCUGUAUGAGAUAUUCCACUUUUGUCCUUCAGGUCCAUACAAGAAGUUGCACCAGCAGUACCCCCUGAAGCAUGAGGAAUGAGGUUCUGCUUUGGGUUAACUCUUUCGCGCAUGAAUUCCAGAGCAAACUCCUCGCCAGUCUGAAUGGAAUAGUUCAUUACAGGUCUAGCUGCAACUGGUAUAGUGAAAUCAGGAGGUCUUAUGUCUGUAUUGAUAGAACUUGAUGGAUCCUGGAAAAAUUUCUGGUUUGAAGAACCAAUGACCUCUGCUCUAGUGUCUAUAGAACUAUAACGAGCUUGUUCAAAGUUAUUUUGCUCAAAAUCUCUAUCCAUCUUAGGUUUUACCCCAUAAGGAGACUUCAGAUCCAUGAAACAGCAACCAAGUAGGCACUUUCAAUCACACCGGCACACUUCAUUCUCAGUAGGAUGUUUUAAAAAGAAAUGAGUAAUAACUGAUAUUAUUUAGAUUUUUUAAAGGUGAACAUUGAUCUAGCAGUUGGGUAGCAGAAGACCCUAGCCAAUAGGACAGAUGUGCUUUAGCUAAUCUCGCUUUAGUAAUCCUAACUGAGGACUUCUAAUGAUUUACCCUGAUCUUUCCCUUUUCAGAUAACAUUUGAUCCUCGCAAAGAGCUACAACCUGCACAGUGCACACCAACAUUUAGUCAAUCAUCAUUAACCAAAGAAAGUUAAGGUUUGACAUGUUACAUGUCCUAAGCAAGGUAACAUGCAUUAAUAUAUCAUUCAAAAUAUAGCUACCUUCCUAAAACUCAACCUCAAGGUCAAAACUUCUUUGCAGUCCGUAACAUUGUCAUCAAGUAGAGUCACUUCACACAAUCCAGCUUGUACCAAGCCAAGAUAAAAAAAAAUACUCUUAAGAAAUGCAUCAAAUACAAACCAAGUAGAGAAUACAUAUGAAUUACAUUCUUAAUUGGUGAUAAAGAAGGUCAAGAUCACAUGUUCAUUUAUGGUCGGUGCAAACAUCUUGUACUGGUGAGUUUUUUCCGCCGAAAAAUCCUCUCAAACUUUAGUUUUCUUCCAAAAGGAAUUAUUAUUUGCCAAUCAAGAUCAACUAAAUGAAGAGAGUGUCUAACAUUGUAAAAUAACAUAUCAGACACUUUUUUGUAAAAUAACAUAUCAGACACCCUUUUUUCUAACAAGCCAGAUUUCAUGACUCCUAGCAGGACACACUACACUUGAUGAUCAAGAGAACUCCGGAGAAGAUGUUUUAAAGAAAACCCAAUCCAAUGCAGCCUUUGAUUUCCUUGUUUUAUUUUCCUCACUCUUUUAACCUCCACAGCAAGUAAUUCCAUUUUUUUACUACCAUUACUAAAGUUUGAACUUAUAAUCUUUGAAUAAACUAAAAAAUGAGGUCCCGUAAUGUUUUUCUACAAUACUGACUCUAUAAAAUCUUUAGCACAAGAUCUACUUCCACCAACACUUUAAGGCUGUUAUGAGGUAAGCCAAAUUGAAACCUUUACCACCUCAGUUCAACUCAACUGUUUAAGACUUGGCAUCACGGUGCGCCUCAAACUCGAUAAAACAAUUAUCAAGCACUUAAAUAAGCAAGUCCAAGUAGAGAGGAACAAUAAUAUAAGGUUCCUGUAAACGAUCUCAACCAGUUCAACAUUGACACCGACAUAGUCAAUCAAAUGAUCAAAUUCCGCAAUAAGAUACUCAAAAAUCAAUAUUAGAUAUCCGAAACCCAAAUUUUCAGUUGAAUCAAGCUAAAAUACAAAAUAAUGCAAAACUUCAAAUUUCAAGCCAAAAAGAAUAUGAAAUAAGCGACUAAACAGUUUACCGUAAUAGAUAGAAGUUGUUAUCACAAACAGCUGUUGACCCUAGAUUUAAUCGGCGGCGGCGGCGAGCAGCGGCGGAAGCAAAUCGGCGAACGGAACUGAAAGAUAUUGAGAGAUCUCUGGUGUUUUGCCGUAGUUAAAAAGAGUCAAAUGUGGACUUGUUUGUGAAAUAUGGGGACUAAUGAAACAAUUUGCAUUAAGGCCAUUAAGUACGCUUAAAGAAUGGUACUUUUUCAUUGAGAUCUGGUACCUUUUUGGAUAAAGUAUCCUUUUGUCCCACUCAAAUACUUCGGCUGUUUGAGGUUUGGUAGAAAUCAAUUCUAACGAAAAAUCAAAUCAAAUCAAUUAGGUAAGUAACUUUUUUAUGGUACUGAUUUUAUUUUGUUAAAAAAUGAAGAAAUUAUUGAAUUGAAUCGAUCCAACAAAUUAUAUCAUUUUUUAUAAUUAGUUAUAGGGAUAAUGUAUAAGUACCCUCACAAUGUCAGAGACAUACUUAUAUUAUACUAAGGUUUCAUUAUUCCUCGACUUAUUUUAUUAAUAAUUUUCUAUCCCUUUUCGGUCUACGUGACACUAUCGUGUGGGCCCAACGAUGGUUGACUUUUUUCUUCAAGCUAUUGUCAACGUAGGUCGAAAAGGGGUAUAAAAUUACUUAUAAAAUAAGUUGAGGGGUAAUAGGAUCUUAGUAUAGUAUAAGUGUGUCUAUGGGAUUUCGGACAUAAGUUGAGGAGAUACUUGUGCAUUUUCCCUUAUUUAUAUACUAAUAAAAUUAUUCACGCUUUGCGCGAGACUUUGAUACCACGAAAUAUAUAUAUAUAAUAAUACUUAAAACCUAUCAGCUACUAAAACUAAAUCACUAUAUUAUCUUAUAUAAAAUAUUAAUAAUGUAAUGAAAAAUGAAAAUUAUUACAUCUUUAUCAUUCAUCAUUAAUAACAUAAGAAUAUGAAUUUCAUUAUAUGCUGAUGAAUGCACUAUUAAGGUUGAUAGGAUAUCAUUUGCAAGAGUGCUAGUUGAAAUGGAUAUGUAGCGAGGGAAUUGCCAAAGAAACUCAAAGUGGAGGAUCCAAAUGGGAGGGCAUUCGAUCAAUAUGAGUAGAUUCCAGAAUAUUGUUCUAAGUGUAUGCAGUUGGGCACAUAAGUGUACUACGAAAGAGGGGAACCAAUACAAAGCAAUUCCUAAAGUGAUGAAUAAAUGGGUUCCGAAGCAGGAUAAAAUGGCAGAGGGAACACAAAUAAUAAAUGGAGAAAAGCACAAGGGGAAGAAGAAAGUAAGUGAAGAGUAAGAAGUUUGGCAAUAGGUAUCUCCAAGUGCUAGAGGAGGCUCGAAUGUUAUGAUAAUGUAUCAAGGCUUAGGAUAACAAAUGUUUUGGAACAUUAAAGAGUAUGGAACAUGGAUCAGCAAGUGCAUUGGAGGAAACUGAAAUAGGAGUAGACGAGGAUGGAGACUUUCAAAAAAGAGUUGCAUGAAAUUAGACACUUGGAAUACAAGAGAAAUAAAUAAACUUCAUAAGCAAAAGGAAAUUAAAUUGUUUAUGAAGGAGAAUAAGGUAGACAUUAUAGUACUAUUAGAACAUAAAAUAAAGGAGCAAAAGCCAGAGAAAAUAAUACAAAAAAUAGCUCAAGGUUGGAAAUGGGAAACAAACUAUGAACACACUGAUAAUACAAAUAUGGCUAUUGUGGAAUCCUCAGGUGAUCGAUUGUGUGCUUUUGAGCAAAUCAUAUCAAUAUAUACAUAGGGGGUAGUAGUGAAAAGGAAUAACAUGAUAUUUUGUUUGCUGGUCAUUUAUGGGUUACAUACUAUUAAUGAGAGGUUAAAGUUAUGGGAAGAGCUAGGUAAAAUGGUGUCUAGUACGCAAGAUUCUUUGAUAUGUAAGGGGGACUUUAAUGCAGUAUUAACAGGAGAAGAUAAAAUAUAUGGUAAGCCAGUACAGGAGAUGGAAAUAAAGGAUUUUAAUGAUUUCAUGGUUGAUGUAGGAAUGACAGAAUUGAAGGCAAUAGGAAGAGGAUAUACCGGGUCAAAUGGGUGUACAUGUAGUAAAAUUGAUCGUGCAAUGAUGAAUGCUGAAUGGAUGUUGAAUAUGAGACAAAGAGAAAUUUGUGUAAUGCAACCUGGCACUUUUGAUCAUUCUCCACUGAGUAUGGAGCUAGACAGUACUAAAGAAGUCAAUCAAGAAGCCAUUAAAUUCUUCAAUUGUAUGACUAAUCAUCAUGAAUUCUUACAUAGGGUGAAAGAUGCAUGGAGCGGUGGACAGAACAGGGAUUUGAAGGAAGUAUGGCAUACACUCAAGAAGGUGAAAUAAAACACUAAACACCUCAACAGUAGAGAAUUUAUUGGGGUUAGAAACAAGGUUCAAGAUAUUAAUGGAAAAUUGCAUAUAAUAUCGGAGAAAAUGAGAGAUCCAGCAGAAGUUUGCCAUAAUAGACAACUGGGAAAAGAUUUUCAAGCUCAGCUAGAGAAAUGGAGUAUGAUUGCAAGAGAGCGAUAUGCAAUAGAAAUCCAGAAUUCAAUGGUUGAGGCUAGGUGAUGUAAAUAUUGCAUAUUUCUAUACACACAUGAAGAAUAGGGUGGUCCAAAAUACUAUCACAAGCCUUAUGACACCGUAUGGUACUAUAGUCUAGACACAAGAAGAAAUAGAGCUUGAAGUGAGUACAUUCUAAAAAAUCUUCUUGGGAAGGCUUCUCUGGAGUACCAAGUGUGAAUAUUGUAUUGUAAGAAAUGAUAAGUUUCUUAAUAGAAAACAACAAAUGUUACUAGAAGUUGAGAUGACAAGGGAGGAAGUCGAGAUGGCACUCAAAGGUAUGCAGGAUAUGAAAGCUCUAGGAUUGAGAAAGCCUGGACAGUAAUAGGUGAGGAUAUAGUGAAUGCAGUAUUAAACUUCUUUGGUACAAGACACAUAUAUGAGACCAUUAACUGUAAAGUGGUGACCCUUAUUCCAAAGAUUGCUAAUCCUACUAAGUUCGUGGAGUACAUGCCUAUCUCAUGUUGCAUAACUUUAUACAAGAUCGUUUUCAAAGUAAUUACCACAAGGUUGUAGAAGGUGAUGAGUUCACUUGUAGAUCCAAAUCAAUUAGAUUUUGUAUUAGGUAGAGCUAUAAAUGAUAAUAUUAUUCCGAGUCAUGAAUUAGUAAAGGGGUAUAGCAGGAAAAUAUUUUUAAUAGAUGUAUGAUUAAGGUGGAUACGAAAAAGACUAUAACUCCAUUACAUGGAGGUUUUUGGAGCAAGUAUUAUAUGAAUUGAAAGUUUUCAGAAAGACUGAUUAAGUGUAUAUUGCAAUGUGUUACCACUGAUACCUGUUUAACUCAGUCAAUGGGAAGUAUACAAGACCAUUCAAAGCUCAAAAGAGGGGUCAGAAAAAAGGAUUCUUUUAUUCCCCUUUCUAUUUGUAUUGGCAAUGGAUUAUCUCACUGGGAACUUAACAAGUCUACUCUCAAAUUAUGAUUUAUAUUAUCAUCCAAAAUGUCUUAAGCAGAGAAUUAUAUAACUGAGUUUGUGUUAAUGAUUUGUUGAUGUUUUGUACAGGCGAUAACAAGCCAGUCAGGAGUCUAUAUGACUGUUUUAUGGACUUCUCUAAUGAAUCAGGGUUGGUGGAAAAUGAGGAUAAAAACAGUGAGUACUUUGUUGGGGUAAAGCAGGCAAUAUAGGACCAGAUAAUACAGGAACUAAAGUUUGUAAAAGGUGAACUCCCAUUUAGAUACUUGAGAGUACCUUUGAGUACUAAAAGGGUCACUAUAGUGCAAUGUAAACCUGUUAUAGAUAAAAUGUUGAGUAGAGUAACUUGAUGUACCACUAAAUUCCUUUCUUAUGUUGAUAGAGUUCAAUUGGUGAAGAGUGUCCUAUUCUCAAUACAAACAUUUUGGGCACAAAUAUUUGCUCUCCCUACAAAGAUUUUACAUGCCAUUGAGAGUAUCUGUAGGAAGUUCUUGUGGACAAAUGUAGAGGCAUCAAAGAAAGAAUUAAUAGCGUGGGAACAACUAUGUUGGCCCAAGAAAAAUGGAGGAAUGAAUUUUCUAAUGUGUUCAUCUGGAACAAUGCUGCUAUAGGGGAACUCCUCCGGAAGUUAUGUAAGAAGAAGGACAAGUUAUAAGUGGUGUGUAUACAUAGCUAUUAUGGGAAGGAUGGAAUAUGGGGCAUCCAAACAAAUCAAGCAUCUUGACUUUUGCAGAGAAUUGUUAAAGCAUGUAAACAUUUAGAAGUUGUUGCGUGCAAUGAAUAAAGCUUGACACAGAUGGAGCAUUAUGUGAUUAAAUAGAUUUAUGAAAAGAUGAGAGGAAAUAGGAAGAAAGUUGAAUGGAAAAGACUGAUAUUGCCAAAUUUUACCUAUCUUUAGAAAAAUCACUUUUUGAAAUGUUCUAAGUAUAGAAUAAUUUUUUGAAAACUACUUAGAAAGAGUCAGCACUUAAUUUUUAAAAAAAAUCAAGAAAACUUAAUUUAUAAAGAUUUUAACAGAUUAAAUCUUUAUACAUUUAGAGAAAAUGGGUAAGCGGUUCUUAUUUACGCUUCACGAAGAUUUUUAAGGCAUUUGAAGCGUCCCCUAACAUGCGGUUAUCCUACGACUUAGGUUAAGUAUUUUUGACUAUUUUUUAGGAAAAUAAUUUGAUAUAAACAUAAUAAUAUUAAUUUAAAAUAUAUGACUAACUUAAGAAAAUAAUUAAAAGAAAAAUUAGUUUUUCAAGGAAAUGGGUAAUUAGUUGAAACAUUUAAUUUUUUUAGAAAAUGAGACCCUUAAUGAAAUUUUUGAAUUUUAACAAAAUUAGAGAAUGGGACCUUAAUUGAAAUAUUUAAUUUUUAAUUAAAAGUAAUUAGAAUUUUAACAAAAACUAUAUUAAUUGGAAAUUAUUCCAAUCAUUUUAGAAAAAUAUAUAAUUUGAACUUAAAUCAUUUUAAAUUGAUCGGAGAGUAAAUUGAGUUAACAUUUUGAGAAAAUGACUAAAGUAAGGAAAGAAAACCAUUUUUUAAGUUUAAUUGAGAACAAACAUCUUAACUUAAAAACACUUUUAAACUAAGUGAAAAUGUGUUAGGUGAUUUAAUUAAAGAACAUGUCUUUUUUAAGAACAAAUAGAUUUAAUUCAAUUAAUGACAUAAAAUUUUAUUAGUAAAAAAAAAGUAUCAAAAGUAAACCAACAUAACAAAACUAACUCAUCUUUUGGGAAAUCUAAUUAAGUUAAAUAAAAUAAAUUAUGGUUAGAGUUAAAAGAAAUAAGUCAAAUCAUAAUCAAAGCAAUUAAAGAAGUAAAAGAGAUAUGAAAUUGGGCCCCUUCUUGGGCCAAUUUCGCUGCAAAUUAUGGUAUUUAACCAAAUUCCCGAUUUUGUAUGCGUCGAAUGUAUAUUGGCGUGUAUACCAGCUUUUUCCAUGUAUCUUAUGCCUCCGAACACUUGUAUUUUGCCUUAUCUCUGUAUUUUCGCAUUUUUGGCCACAAAUUUGCUGCCAUGAACGUGUAUAUCACUGUAUAAACAUUGUAAACAUCAUUUAUACAGCCAAUUUUGCAGCUUUUGAACAUUUAUCAACUGAUUUCCAGCUGUUCGUUGUGUCUCCAGAACCUUUCUCGGGGCAGAGAACUCGAGACAACAAUGAGCUUCAGAGCAAUAAUUCUUCUACCACACAAUUCGAACACGAGCGGCCAACUAAGAAAAUCUGAGUGGUGAUCUUCUCGGAACUUACAAUUAGAGAGCUAAGUAUAAAAUUCUUGAGUAUAAAACGUCUGUAGCCCCAAAAAUUGUGUCCUUCAUCACUGAGAGCAAAGGGCUAUUUAUACUAAAAGGUUCUUGGGAGACUAAUCCGUUGGAUUUUGAAUCAAUUCAUUCUUUUUCGAUGCAACAACAAAAGGGGCUCCAAUGCUCCGCGAAAGGGGAAAAAAGGGAUGAGAAGGACGGCGACGUACACUGUAGCACCAUUUGGAGUCAGCUGAGUUUGAGGAAAAAGAAGCAGAAAGCGUACAUGGCACUGUUGGAUGCGACUUCUCGCUGGAUUUCAGCGUGCGUCUGACUUGCAACGUACUUUGCUGCUUUCUUUUCGCUGGUUUAUCGCUGAUUUUCAGAGGAGAAGGAAACCUACAGGGGUGGGUCGGGUAUUGUCGCUGAUGGAUCAGGCUUAUGUGUAUGAUACACAUUUAUGAUUGUUGUAGGGAAACUUACAUAAGUAUGAUGUAUUAAAAAAAUAUUCACCAUUUAUAGAAAUAAUAUUUUUAUUAUUUGACCACUUUUAAUUUAUUUAUAAUAAAAGUUUAAGACAUAUUACAAAGAACAAUUUAUUAUUCACAUAUAAUCAAGUUUUAAUGAUGGAUAAUAUAUUUAUCACACCUUUUAAUACACUUAUAAUACAAGAGAUAAUUUUUUAUCAAACAAACAUAAUAUAUUUCAAAAACAAUCAUAAUUUAAAUAUAUUGCGUACAUAAUUCACUUUUAAUACAUAUUACAAAUUAAUCACAAUAUUGCUAUAAAUGGUAAUAAACAAAAAAUAUCGCUGAAAUCAGUAAUUAUUUUGUAAAAUGUAUUAAUUACAGCUUUAUUUUUUAAAAUGUAUUAAUUAUGUAAUUUUUCCGUUGUUGUAUAUAUAUUGGAUUGAGGCUGAGAAUUAUUUGGUUUAUAGAAAGAGUGGGGCGACUGAAAAGGAAAAUGGGCUAAGAAAUAUUUGGUGUUGGUGAUAUUGGGCUGGUCAAUUGGUAUUGGGUCUUUUGCCAUUUUCGAAUUGGGCUGGCUGGCUGAAAAUUGAAUUCUUGUUGUUGAGCUAGAUUUUGACAUGAAAAGGCCCAAAAAUGGGUUCUUAUAAAUGGGUUUAAAGUGAGGUAAGGAGAGAGGUGAGAUUUGGAUUUAAGGAAUCCGAAUUGAAAUAAUUGACUAAUUCAACUAAGUUUUAAAUAAGAUGAAUUAAUAUUAAUUAAUUAACGAGAUUCUUAAUCCUAACAAAACAUAAAAAAUUUAACUUGAUUAUAAAUUAAUAACUAACCAAUAUAUACCAACUUAAAAUAAACUAAUUUAAUAAAAUAUUCAUAAACUAAUUUAAUAAAAUAUUCAACUAAAAAGUAAAAUCUUUUGAGAUGAUUUUCGAAUAUUCAUAAAUUAUUUUUUUAAUAUAUAAUUAUAUAGAACACAUAAAUUAUUUAAAAUUAUGAAAAAGCGACGAAACUAUUUAAAAUAACUUGCAAACUAUAUUUAUUAUUUUAUUUUUAUUUUGAAAUUCUUAUUAAACUAAAUAUUUUAAAUCGUUUGAAAUUUAAGAAGCUCGAUGAUUAAUUUAUAUAUUGGAGGGCCAAAAUUGGAUAUUAACAGAUGUACCUCGUUUUACUUGAAUUGAUGAAAUAAAUUCGAGGCAAAUGAAAUUGACGGGUCCAAUUUUGACCGACCACUUCUUCAUCCUCAAGAAAGGGAUUUUGGAACGGACUUUAGAAAUUAUGGCCGAUCCCCAGUAGCAGGCUUACUACAUAUCUCACGCUAUAUGAGAAGUCAGACCACUUGUAGUUCGAUAUGCUUGAUUUGACACACGAUUAUGAAAGAAUUCAGAAGCUAUCUCGAUAUCGAAUUAUGAGGAGAUUGAAAUGCUCGAGAACAAGAUUCGAUGGAGGAUAACGAAAUACAAUCGAGUUUUCAACAUUGAGCCCGCCUACAUAUCCUUAAAUCUUAGGAUUCAGGCUAUUUGUAGUUCGACUCUAUCGGUUGAAAAUGAAAUCUUUUAUGCAAGAUAACCUUUGGUUCUGGAGGAAUGACGAGUAAGUCAAGUGUGCAAAAGAGGCUUGCAACCUCUUAUCCAUGAAUGUGGUGCACUUCACGCCCAUAAUUAAGAACUUAAGUGGACAUAAUUUUCAAAGCUCGUGGUGCGCUGUCACUUAGAUUAGAAGUUGCCUUCUGUGAGAGUGAGAUGUUUCCCGGAUGCGAAAUUGAAAUCAAUGAACUAAGAGAAAAACCCGCACGCCUUUUGAUAGUGGUGUGGUUUGAUUGUGGAAGAAGUUGCUUCUCAAUUCGUGUCCUAGGAGUUUGAUACUUCUAUUUGGACUAUGUCCCAGUCGCUGCUAAAAAAAAGUUUCACAUUGUGUUACAUCCCUUUUGAUGUCGUCCCCACCUGUGAUUUGAUUUGAGUAUUCAUCCUCUCGGAUGCUCUCGACAAAUACUAGUGUAAAAUAUAAUUCAAAUGGAGAAAUAACAUCAUUUACCAUGUUGGAACUUAAUUGUUCUUCUUGAAUAUUUUACGUCAACUUUUUUCAAUUUGACGUAAAGCAAAUAAAGAAUGUAUCUCAUAUUUGCGACAUGACUCUUCACUGUACUCCUCUUUUAAUAUUGAAGUUGUGAAAUAGGCUAAUGUAAUAUGUUUAUGGUUUUCUUGAUGGUUGAAUAUGAUGGCCCUCUCGGCAGUUUGAAUAUGAAUGACACUUUCAGCAAUUUGAAGAUAAAUGUCCCUCUUGGUGUUUUGAACAUGAUGGCCUUCUCGGUGGUUUGAAUAUGAACGACCCUCUUGAUAAUUUAAAUAUGCAAUGGCCCUCUCGAUAGUUUGAAUAUGAAUGACCCUCUCGACAAUUUGAAUAUGAAUGGUCUUCUCGGCUGUUUGAAUAUGAAUGGCCCUUUCGGUGGUUUUGAAUAUGAAUGGUCCUCUAUUCAAUUUGAAUAUAAAUGCCCGUCUUGGCAUUUUCAUAUGCAAUGGCCCUUUUGACAAUUUAAAUAUGAAUGGCCCUCUCGGCGGUUUGAAUAUGAAUGACCCUCUCGGUGGUUCUGAAUAUGAAUGGUCCUUUUGGCGGCUUGAAUAUGAUGGCCCUCUCAGCGAUUUGAAAUGAAUGUCCCUUUUAGCGGUUUGAAUAUGACGGGCCUCUUGGCUUUGGAAUAUGAAUUGCCCUCUUGGCUUUUGAAUAUAAUGGCCCUCUCGGCGGUUUGAAUAUGAAUGGACUCUCGAUAAUUUUGAAUAUGAAUGGCCCUCUCAACUCUGUGAAUAUAAAUAAUGUCACAUCCGGGUUUACCCCUAGACAUAAUCGGCGUCAUUAACCUUUUCAAGGACUAAGACUAUCCUCUUAGUCACGUCAUUACAUUCAUAGGUUGAAAAAUGUGAAAAAAAUUUAAAACUUUCAUUAUAGCUACUUGGAGUUUUACAUAGACCUUUACAUACACAUAAUAUAUAGUCAUAUCGAGUAUACAUAGACUCUUCAUAUAGGAAGGUUACAUAGCCUUCUACUUUUAUUGCACAUACAUAUAUAUAAAAUAUUGAAAUAGUCUCAACAAUUGUCUCUUCUCCUACCAUCUAAUCGAUUAGCACAAUAUGGGCAUAACCCUUACAUCAAUCUAACAAGACCCCAUAUAGUUUAUACAAAAGUAUAGUACUCAAUUGAAAAAGAAAGAAAUGAAAUAGUCUUUAAACUCGUAACAAGCCUGUAAGCUAGAUGAUGACAUUGCCCUCGAAAGUUGAGGACCUACCCUACUUGGAUGAAAAGAAGAAUCCAAGUCUUCAACAAUGUCGCCUUCCAAACUCUUCAACGACCGGAACCUAAAAUGUUUAGGAAAAGGGGAAGACAAUGGGGUUAGUACUCCACAUUUACUAAGUAUAAGACCUUAUGCACAUACACAAGCAAAACAUUCUAUAAAGGGACUUUUUGUCAAAAAAUGCCAUUUUACCCAUUUAGGGACCUCGUGCAAAGCCAAGCAAGUCAUAUCAAUCAACCAAACAUGCUUACUAACUCAACAAGUAAUACCUAUCCCAACAUGCUUGAAAACCAUGAUUUAUACAACCCGAACAUCAAGGAAUAACAUCACAAGAAUGAAUAAGAGUCAAUCAUAUCAUAAUAAUAAAGACAACUACUCAUAAGUCCUUAUCAAGUCAACAAGUGCAAUGACCAAGCAAAGGCCUAUAACCUUACUCAAUCAAGUAUCCUCAACAAGAAAACAUGACCAAUGUCCAACUUUACACAACAUAACAUUUAAGUUUACAUUUCAUCAUAUAUUAACAUCAUAACCCAAGGCAUACUCAUGAGUGAACUAAUCAACAUAUAGUAUCAACAAUGUGCCAUAGUCAUCAUAUAUACAUCAUAUAUCAUCAUAGUAUAAACAUAUAUAAGAACCUCCUUCUAAGACUCCCCUCAAGGCUAACUAGUUCAAUGUUUAUGUAGAGUCACAUACCCCUAUCUAGACUAAGCUAAACCUCUUAGGUUAUCUAAGUUAGAGAAAAUCCUUUAAUUAGUUUUACCUUUUGGGAACAUCUUUCCCUAACCGACAUAAACCACAUGAGCUAGUGUGGAAUCCGGUGUCAUAAAACCCUACACCAAAAGAAGACGGACUACUUGCCAAGGUAGUACCAAAAUAUGAAACAUAGCAACUACGUGGAUCCUCUAGCUAGUAUUUCUAUAGGGGCAACAUAGUUCAAGAACUAGGAGAUAUAGUUGGGACCCUAUUUAUGUGCUAUGCAUUAUAGUCUCCAAUCUCAAGAGUAAUGUAGUGUUCCUACCUUCUCUAUGUGGGAAGGGACACUCCUCAAUCUAGUUCACUUAGUGCUAAGCUAGAGUCCCUUUUUGAAAUGUCUUUAAGCCUUUAAUUAUGAAUCAUAGCUUAGUUUAGGUCAUAGGUUCUACCCCUUGUAUAAUCAUCAUCAUCAAUAACUUAAUAAGAAUUGUACGAGUAUACAUACUUUCAUCACAAUCCAUAUAAGUGAGGUUAACACAAUAGCAUUUCAUAGCAUAUCAAGGCAUAUUGAUAGUUUUCACCAUCCUUGUAUCACAUACACCUUAAUCAACCCACAACAUAGUCAAGACAUUUCAUUUAAAUAUCAUACCACCCUAUAAUCCUAAUAUAAGGCAUACUCCAAUGUAAUAUCAUGACUUAACAACAAUUAAUCACAAUUGGAAUUAAAGAUAUAGAUUCUAAGACUUACCAAGUCAACCUCAUAGUCUACCAUCAACCCAUAUGUCAAUCCAAUUUGGGUAGUAUCAUCAUCACACAAUGAUAACCAAUAAGAUAACAAGGCCAAUUGCAUAUCUAUAACACAAUUCAACACUAAAUUAUAACUUAAGACAAGAUACAUAGGCUAAUUUCACAAUACAAUUCAUAACCUAAAUCACAUCUCAAGAACUAGAAUGAUAUUCCUAUAAUUCAUAUUAAUUUAAUCAUAAUAACACCAUAGGAUAGUAAUCUAGUCAACGACCAAAUCAAUUGAAUGAUUAUAAUACCUUAUAGGGUAAGAUCACAAUCUAGGGUUAGGGAUGGAGGAUCAUGUUCUUCAAUUUAGACCAAACCAUCAAAAAUUACCAUGAACAAGUUAAAAUUCAUGUUAAUCUACUCAAUAUAACCUAAAGAAAUCAUAAAAAACUCAAUCCAUAACUUUAAUUUCAUAAUUGAAUGAAACCCAUAAGAAAACUCAACUUUUGAAAUCCAUUUUGAAGGAACCCUUUGAGGAAAGAGUAUCAAAGGUGAAUUAGAUCCCAUACAUUAACAUUUGACAAUAAUUUGAUGGUGAAUUCAUCCCUUUCCAGUCCACAAACCCUUCUCCUUGCCAGUCUUCAAUGGUGAGUUCAAGUAGAGAGAGAAAGAAUAGAGAAGGAAGACAGUUUAUUUAUGAGUUGUCUUUAGAUUAAUGAGAGUUGGGAGUAUUUAUAUUGGGACUUAAUCAACUUAAUAGAAUCCUUAAACCCCUAAUUAAUCACAUAACCCCCUAACUAAUUAAAUGAGACUAACUUAAAUUGUGUAGGAAAUUUGACCCUCAUAGAAGAGAUCCCGAAUGACGGGCCGUCUAUGAGUCGACGGUCCCUCACCCCUCCGUCUUGCACUCCAUCGAUGAGUUCACAGACUAUGCAGGCAGAGGCCUUCCUCAGAUUGUCUAAGUAUGGGACGAUGGUGGCAUCGACGCCUCGUCAUUCCACACACGGACCGUAGGUGGUCCCGUUGAUGCCCACUGUCUAGGCCAUGUUUCUUCAAACACAAGGAUCCUUCUCAAGGGCCCUUGGUUGGUCAUUGGGGAGUCGUACCCAGACGUUUCAACCAUGAAAAUACUCAAAUACCUAUUAUAUACCCUUCCACCAAUUAUCAUACAUUUUCGACUCAUAAAAGUUUGUCAAAUAGGCUAAGACACACUAACACCCUUUUGAACUAACUUCCUAGACGUCAUGGACGUUCUUGAACAUUUUGGUUUAUAAAAUUCCUAAAUGAUAUAUGUUCAUUUAUAAAAUUGACUUAAAAACAUUACUUAGGCAUUAUGAUACCUACGUUAGGCUUUACAACACGUCUUGGAUUUUCAAAGUGUUACAAAAUGACCCUCUUGGAUGACCCUUUUGGCUUUUGAGUAUGAAUGACCCUCUCGGCGUUUUCAUAUGCAAUGAACCUUUUGGAAAUUUAAAUAUGAAUGUCUCUCUCAGCAGUUUGAAUAUGAAUGUCCCUUUUGGAGGCUUGAAUAUGAUGACCCUUUCGACAAUUUGAUAUGAUUGGCCCUCUCGACAGUUUGAUAUACAAUGACCCUUUUGAUAUUUUGAAUAUGGUGUCCCUCUUGGCAAUUAUUAUGCAAUGGCCUUUUCGGUGAUUUUGAUAUAAAUGCCCCUCUUGGAAUUUUCAUAUUCAAUGGACCUUUUGGUAAUUUAAAUAUGAAUGACCCUCUCGAUGUUUGAAUAUUAAUGCCCUUGUAGCGGCUUGAAUAUGAAUGAACUUCUCGGAAGUUUUGAAUAUGCAAUGACCCUCUUGGAAUUUUGAUUAUGAAUGACCAUCUCGACAAUUUAAAUAUUAGAUGGCCCUCUUGGCGGUUAUAGAUGAUGGAUCAAGUAGAGAUGUUUCACUCACUAUCAGAUAUUUGCUGAUAGGUUCUCCAGGAAUAGUUGGUUGAUAAAUAUAUUAUCUUCGAUGAUAUUAUUUUAUCCUGCACCCACAAAAAAUGAUAGUUGUGGAACACUGAUUUGUGUUGAUUUCUUCCAUUCGCCUCGCUUCUUGUCUCCCUAUCUUUGGAAGUUUGGUUGAUCCUACGAAUCGUAAUAGACAAAAGACAAAAUCAUAUUUAAAUUAGAACACUUGUUAUGUAUGAAGUUUUUUUUAAAAAUAUUUUUAAAGAAAAUCCCUGCCAAUUAAUUUUCACGACAUGCACGACACAAACAAACCUAUUAUCUCAAAUUUUGUCAAGAUAGGUAGUUUGUUGGCAACUUUAGAACUUCUUAAGAGUAUGUAACAUUGAGAACUUGAAGUUGACUUUGAUGUUUUUGUUGUGCGGAAUUUGAGAUAAUACGAGAAAAUAUAAACGCGAAAAACAAGACAACAGAUUUACGUGGUUCACCAAUAAAUUGGCUACGUCCACGGGAAGAGAGGGAGCAGUUUUAUUAUGGAGAGGCAAAAACAGAAUUACAGAAUAGGGUUUCCCAUAGCGUCUAUAUAUAGUGCUAAGUUACGCCCUAACAGGCUUGGGCCCAACAUACAGAAUCAACAGAAAAUUAAGGGCCCAAUACAACAACAUUGUAUACCGUCGGCCCGGGGGCGUCUCCGCCCCCCCGGACCCCCGUCCUUUCUGUUUGUAGCGGGUCCGAUUCAAGGCAUUCAACAGUUUUGAGUACCUUUGAUGAAAUUUUUGAGGUCCUCCUCAAAAAUUCUGUCCCAGUUAGAUAUCUUAGAACAAAUUUGAUGGUAAUCAUGGGAAUCAUGAUAUCUUGCGAAUUUUUGAGAUUUUCUCAAACUUAUGUUAUAUUCGGAUAUUUUGAUAUGAUCUUUGACCCUUGCUUAUAGGAAAAAACUCUUCAUGUAGAAUUUCUAAGAUCCUCUCAAAAACACUAUCCCAGUUUCUAUUAUGAAGGAAAAUGGAAAUCUUAUUGGGAAUAUGAUUGAACCAUUGUGGCGCCUACGUAUCUCGUUGAGGCAGGAAUCAGGUCAAACGUAGUUCCCUCUUGAGGAUUGACAGAAAUAAGAAAUUUUGAUAAGGAAAUGACCGAGGCCGACAAACGCCGCCUACGUAUCUCAUUCUUGAGAAUUCAGGUCGAACAUAGUUCAUGUACUCAUGGGAUUCUUCAAAACAUAGAGAGACAAUGAUUACAAGUAAAUUACGAUUACAAGGAAAUAAAGAAAAGAAGUAACAUUCUUCAAAUGUAGUAUCUUUUGACGGCAUUUGAAUGGAUAGCUUUGUGCCACACUCUACCGUCCAUCUCUGCUAGAACCAAGACUCCUCUUAAUAGUACUUUGUGGACAACAUACGGUCCUUGCGAGUUAGGUGGACAUUUUCCUUUGUAUUCGUCUUGAUGAGGGAAAAUGUGUUUCAACUCCAAUUGGCCUAUCCAAAUGUUCGAACUCGUACUUUCUUAUUGAAAGAGCGAGUCAUUCUCUGUUGAUACAACUGGCCAUGAAAAGCAACACUCAUUCUUUUAUCAUCAAUCAAUGUUAACUGCUCAUAUCAAUCACAAACCCAUUCGGCAUCGCUCAAUCCAACUUCCUGAAUCAUCCUCAAAGAUAGUAUCUUAACUUCAGCUGGUAUUACGACUUUUGUUCCGUAGACUAAUAGAUAUGGAGUUGCUCAAGUUGCAUAUCAAAUUGUGAUGCGAUAACCUAGCAAAGCAUAUGGCAAAUUUCUAUGCCAACAUUUGUAGGUGUCAACCAUCUUUCUCAAUAUCCUCUUGAUGUUCUUAUUAGCAGCUUCCAUAACUCCAUUCAUCUGAGGACGAUAUGUAGUUGAAUUAUAGUGGGUAAGUUUGAAUUGUUCACAUAUCUCUUUUAUCAAGUGACUAUUCAGAUUUGCACCAUUGUCUGUGAUGAGAGACUCAGGAACUCCAAAACGACAUACCAAAUUGUUGCGAACAAAAUCAGCUACAACUUUUCUUUGUCACAGCUUUAUAGGAAGCAACUUUGACCAACUUUGUAAAGUAAUCAAUGGCGACCAAAAUGAACCUGACUAUUGGAGGCAGCAGGCUCAAUUGGUCCAAUAACAUCCAUUCCCCAUGCUACAAAUGUCCAAGGAGAACUCAUUGCAUUGAGCUCGUGCGGAGGUACUUUGAUCAGAUUUCCAUGUACCUGAUAUUUAUGACAUCAUUGGACAAAUAUGACACAAUUAUUUUCCAUAGUCAUUCAGUAAGUAUUGCGCCCUUAAGAUUUUCUUUGCUAAUGUAAACCCAUUCUGUAGCAUCCACACAUCGCAAUAAUCCCAAAUCAGGAGUCCUCCUAUAAAGAACAUUCCCAUUCAAAAAGAAGUUGUUUGUCAUUUUUCGGAUUGUGUUUCUUUUGGAUACUUGUUGCUUUUUCGGGGUAUUCACCAGCUUCUAAUUACCUUUUCACAUCGGUAUACCAUGGAUUUCCAUCCAAUUUUGCUUCCACAUGCAAAUAAUAUCCUGGUUGUUCUUUUAAACCUAUCUCAAGCGGUUCAAUGUAACUCUUUUCUAGGUGUUGUAUCAUGGAUGAUAUGGUUGUGAGGGUAUUAGAAAACUCGUUAUCUAUUUUGGGGUGUUUCUGAACUCGGUCUUGCCUAAUCUCUUACACAACCUAUGUACCAUUUGAACGUAAGGUAAGAUUUUAGGAUUUUUCAUGGCCCAUUCUCCUCGAACUUGAUGAAUCAACAAGUCUGAAUUACCAAUUAUCACUGAUUCUUGAACAUUCAUGUCAAGAGCCAUUCUGAUGACAAGAAUACAAGCUUUGUACAACUAUGUUAUUUUUGCAUCAAAAUCUGAGCUAUGCUGUUGCUGGAAAAUGUUGCUCCGAUUCAAAUAUCAACACUGCUCCAAUUCUUGAUCCAUCAAAAAACAUUAUCUACCCAGGAUAUGAUUCUGAUAUAUCUUCCCCAGCAACAAUACCUCUUCAUCCGUGAAAUAUGUUCUAAGCAGUUCAUAUCCUUCAUGUACUGGGUUUUCAGCAAGGUGAAGUCCAAGGCUUGACCCUUAAUUGCUUUCUGAAUCAUGUACAUAAUUUCAAACUCACUCAACGACAUUUGCCACUUUGCUAGCUUUCUUGUAGGCAUUGCUUUCUGAAAUCUGUAUUUGAGCGGGUCCAUUCUGGAAAUGAGAUGUGUUGUAUAAGCUGACAGAUAAUGUCGCAAUUUCUGAGCCACCCUAGUCAUAGCACAACAAGUUCUAUCAAAGAGGGUGUAACGAGCCUUAUAGGAUAUGAAUUUCUUUCUCAAAUAGUGUAUAACUCUCUUUUUUUCCGGUCUCAUCAUGUUAUCCCAACACACACCCAAAUGCAUUGUUAGAGACGGAUAAUUACAAUAGCAAAGGACUUCCUAAACGUGGUGGCACCAAUAUUGAUGGAUUUAAAAGGUAAUUCUUGAUGGUGACAAAACCCUUCUGACAUUCUUCGGCCCAUUUAGUUGGCGCAUCCUUUCAUAGCAACUUGAAUAUGGGCUCACAUAUCACCGUUGAUUGAGCUAUGAAUCGAUUGAUGUAAUUCAGUCUCCCUAGAAAACUCGUUACUUCCUUCUUAGUCUUUGGAGGAGGCAAGUCUUGAAUUGUCUUGAUCUUGCAAGGAUCAAGUUCGAUAUCUCUUUUGCUAACUAUGAAUCCGAGUAACUUCCCUGCAGGUACUCCAAAUGCACAUUUUGCUGGGUUCAACUUCAAAUCAUACUAACCUGUCAAAGGGUGUUGUGUGUAAGUUUUGGUUCCUUUUCUGAGUGCAAUGGGAAGGUCAAGGUCAUUAGGUUUGUUAAAUUCUUCUUUAUCAUCAGUUUGGUUUGGUGUUUCGAAUGGUUCAACAAGUUCAAGAUGAGUAUUAGGAGUAGUAACGUAAGGAGAUGAUUGCAACUGAGUAGUUUGAUCAGUUAGUCUCUUUUUUCUCGAAUAUACCUGCAAUAGUAGAUUAUUUUCUAGAAUUUCAACAUCUAUAUUAACAUUAGGAGACUUAAUAGGCUCGUUUGUAUUUGGAGGCUAAUGUGAUUGAAGAAAUGGUAACUUAGGUAAGGAUUUGGCACGACUAGAAUAGACAAAUCAAAGAGUGAAAAGUCUAGAGGUUCCUCUCCAUUCAAUGAUUGCCCUUGAUUAAGAAUGAUUAAAAAGGAUUCACUCUCAUCAAAUGUGACAUCCACUGAAACAAAGAAUUUAUUUGAUGAUGGUUGAUGACACUUGUAACCUUUUUGAGUAGGAAAAUAUCCUAUGAAAAAAUACUUAAGAGCACGUGGGUCUAAUUUGUCUUUAUUUUGAGAAUGAAUAUGAUUAUAGGCAACAUCUUCAAAAGAUUCUAAGAAUCAAUCUAUUGGAUAUUUCAAAAUUUAAAAGAAAUCCUUAAGAGUGUGAAACGGACUUUGAAAGUUCAAAAUUCUUGAUCGUAUUCUGUUACUAAGAUUUGUAGCAGUUUUGACAACUAAAUCCCUCUCCCAAUACUGUUUUAACAAUUUUUUGUGUAACAAUAGUGAGCGUCUUUUGACAAAUGCAAUAUUUUGGACAUAAAUUUGCAUUUACAAACUGGCAUUGCAGUAUUCGACAACUUUUUCUUUUGGUGCACAAUAGAAUCGCUGAAGAGUACCAGAGCAGAGAAAAUGAAAAUGUUUUUUUUUCAUGCCUCUCUGCUAUCCAAUUUUGUUGAAAAGUAUUGACACAUGAAGAAUCAUGAAUAAUUUCCUCCUUUUGGAAGAAAACGGAGAGGUUUUUAUUAAAGUAGUCCUUGGUAUUAUUAGAUCGAGAUCUUUUAAUCGACACAUCAUAUUGGGUUCUGUUCAUAUUUAAAAAGGUAGGAAGAAUUUGACUGAUAUUUGAUUUUUGCUUUAGCAAAUAGAUCUGUGUAGCUCUUGUACAAUCAUGAAUGGAUGGAACAAACAAUCUAGUACCAAAAAUAUUAGGAAUGGGAAAGAGUCCCCAAAUAUCACUAUGAAUAAGAGAAAAAGGAAUUUGACAUCUUUUGUGGCUUUCUGGAAAGGAAACACAUUUAUGUUGUGCAAUUUUACAAUUAUCACAAUGAAAAGACUCAACAAUCAAACCUUUGAACAAAUAUGAAAACAUCCUUUUGAUUACGUAAAGGGAUGGGUGAACUAACCGGUGAUGAUAAAAUCAUACUUUCUCUUUAUUAGGUAUGGUAGAUAUAUUUAGUCAAACAAGAAUAAACUGGAGGGGAAAUUCUUAGCCAUAUAUUUAUCAUUUUAGAAAUAAAAAAAUAAAGAUCGCAUUUCUCACUAUCAUGCCAAUCAUUUCCUUCGUGUUCUAUUCUUGAAAUAAUAAAUAUGAAGGGAAGAAAGUUACUUGACAUUUGAAAUUUUUGAUGACUUUUUUGGAUUGAAAUGAAUUAGUAGAUAACUUUGGGAUAUGAAGGACAUCUUUAAGUAUCAAGGAUUUUCCAAGUGGUAUAUCUCAUUGUCCAACUAUAGUGAUAACUGAACCAUCAACUAUAGUUAUAUUUUAUAACUAGGAUAAAGGGAAUGUGAUAUGGAAAGAUGAGAGAGAAUGGUCAUGUGAUCAGUUGCCUUGAAAUCUACCACCUACAUAGGAGAAAGUUUGUUUGAGAGAUUAGUAAUAUAAGAGUAAGAAAUGCUUGUGAAGGCCAAUGAACAACUACCUGUUGAAGCUGAAUAUUGCAAAUCUCGAGUUAAAACUAUAAAUUAUUCUAUAUGGUUGCACAAACAUUUUCAGAGGCUGAAAUAUUUGCGGUAGUACCAUUUUAAAACAUGAUUUGGAUAAAUAAAAUAGCAAAAUGGGAUUUCUCAAUAUAAGAUGAAUAAAAUUGGUCAGGAAUAAGCUUAAAGCUCUGAUAUCGUAUUAAUAAGAUUGUUAAAUAACUUCAUUAAUAUAUAUCUAUGUCAUAUCAUGGCUUUAUAUAUACAUAAGAAAUUAUGAAUAGGAUCACCUAAAUUUCAAGAAAUCAGAACGAUACACGGAAAAUUUAAAACUUUUACAUAUGAAGUAUACUUAGACUUCUCGUUUAUCAUAUAUAAAGUUUACAUAGACUUCUCAUUUAUGAAGUAUACAUGGACUUCUCAUUUAUGCAAUAUAGACUAUUCAUUAAAGUAGCCUAAUAUAUGUCUCUCAUAAAACCAUAUAUCAUAGAAUCACAAGAUUUGGGCAUAUCCCUUACACUAGUACUGUAUGCCAUAUAUAGUAUUACAACAAAGUCUCUAAUAUAAGGAAAGAACAAGUGUCUUAAACCUAGUCAAUACAAAUGAAGAUAGAAAGUGGCAUCAUCCUCUGACUUGAGGACUCACCGACAACUUGGAAAAAGAUCUGAAUCUUUCUUGAAAUUAGCCUUGAAAACUCUUCAAUGGCUCGAACCUACAUAUUAUAGAAAUAUAAAGAAUAUGCGUUAGUACAAACCACAUGUACUAAGUAUGAAAACAUAUACAAUUAAACCUUUGAAAUCAUUAACAAAAGGGACCUACAUGCUAAGUCAUUUCGAAAUCCUUCAUACACACACUAAAGCAUAUACAAGUCAAUUAUCACAACAACAUCAAUACAUGUUCAUAUAUACAAUAAUACCAUCAUAAAGUCAUAUCAAAAUUUUAUGUUCUAGAAUUCAUAUCAUUAAAACAUACAACACCCUUACUGACAAUUCCAUCCCAAGCCUACAAGUGCAAUGCUCAUGUGAAGUCCCAUAACCCCACACAAUCAAGUAAACUAGUUAAGAAACCAUAAGCAAUUCUUUUACUUCUUAUAACAUAACAUCAUGUGUAGUCAUCAUCAUAUAUAGCAAUUUAGACCAAUAUCAUGCUCAUCAAAUUCAACCAACAUCAUAUAAGAGCAACAUCAUGUAUAACCAUACAUAUAUACAUUUCAUUUAAAACAUAAGUGCAUAAGAACAACCUCCAAUGACUCCCUCCAAGGUUAACUUGUGCAACGCAUAGGUAAAAUCUCAUACCCUUACCCACACUAAGUAGAUACCCUUAAGGUCACCUUAGUUAGUGUCCAUCUUUAUUACAUUCAUUUAAUCAUUUUACUUUCAGGAAAAAUCGCCUUAACCGAUAAUAGACUUUGUGAGCUAAACAUGGAAUACGGUGUCAUGAAACCUUACAACGAAAGAAUGUUCUCUACUUGCCAAGGUAGAACCAUAACAUGAACAUAACAUUCUAAGUGGAUCCACUAGAUAGUUUUCCUAUAGGGGAAACAUAGAUAAAGAACUAAGAGAUUUACUAGAAAAUCAACUAUGCAUAUCGCAUGUUAGUCUCCAUCUCAUGAGAACCAUUCCCUCAUUGGGAAAGGACACCUCUCAUACCUAGUUCGCUCGGUGCUAAGCAAAAGUCCCUUUUUGAAAUGUCUUUAAGCCUUUCUUUAUCAUCAAUUCUUAAUAUAGGCCAUAGGAGACUAAACCUUUGUAUAGUCAUGUAAUUAGCUAAUUAGCUUUAUAAUUAAAACUUCCUUUCAUCACAACCCAACAUUAGUAAGAUCAUUACAUCAUAGUCAUAUCAUAAAAAGGCACACAAAAAAAUCACUUUCAACCUUGCAUCAUCAUACCCCUAUCAAGAUCUCACAUUGAACAUAUUCAUAACAUGCCAUAAUAUUCAUCAUAUCAUCAUCAUCUUCCUAUUCUAUUCACAUAAUCAUACUUCAAUUGAACAUCAUCAUCAAGAAUAGACCAAUAUAAUUCAAGUAAAGUAUUCAUAAUCUCAAAAGUCUUACCAAUGUAUUCAAAAAGGAUCUCCUUCAAGAUAUUACCAUCAAUUUCACCACAUUCAACCAAUAACCCAAUCAUUAUCAUCAUAUAAUUGUAGAUUAAGUUAUAACAUAUCCAAUUGCAACAUCCCUAAUCAUCUAUAAGCCUAAUUCAUAAUUGGGGUUAAAGAAAAGAUUUCAUCAUGGAUCUUUUAGAGAAACUAGGUCAAAUACUAAGAAACUAAAAAGUCAACCAUUAAACAUUCAUAAUCUAUCAAUAUAAACCAAAGGAAUGCAACAUUAAAUCUAUUUGAAAGGUAACCCACGAAAUUUGAUGAAAACCAUAAUUUUAGACAUCUAUGGAAUCCAAUUUUGAAGAGCCUCUUAGGGAAAGAGAUCCAAAGAAUAAAUUCCAUACUUUAACAAUCCUUGAAGAAUGAUGGAGGAAAACAUGACACUUGAAGCCCUAGUGAAUCUUGAACCUUGGUCUUGAAUGGAGGGUCUUUGAGAUAGAGAGAGAGAGUAGAGAGAUGCGGGAGUAAAUUGGGUUUAGGAAAUAAUGAAGUGUUAGGUUAGUUUAAUGAAGUAUAACUCUUAUAUAGUCCUUAAUUAACUUAAUUAACCACCCCUUUAUCCCUAAUUAAUUCAUUAACUAAUUAACUGAUUAUCCUAACUUAAACUAUAACUUGGCAGUGAAGUGGAUGACCAAACUACGACUCCACAUCAACGUUCCGUCGACCAAACCACAAACCGUACUGGUAGUCCGUGGUUUUGCUUAGAGACUCCUUUUUGGAGCUUUUUUGGUAUUUGGCUAAUUCCCCACCAUGAGCACCAUCGACAGGCCGUUGAGCUAUCGACGACUCAUUGUCUGCUCUGUUGUUUUCCUACUGUAAAUUGACAACUUUUAGGGUCAAUUGUUAGGGUCCUCUUCAAGGACCUUUAGGGUGGUCUUUGGGUAGUCGUACCCUGAAGUUUCGACCCUAAACACGCUCUUAUAAGUAUUUCAACAUUUUCCACCAAAUUUGACCUUUUACCGACUCUUUUAACCCCUUGAAACACACCAAGGCACACUAGCUCAUCUUUCAUAAAUCUCUGAACGUCAUGGUCAUUUCUUGAUGUUUUGAUUCUAAUACUUCCUAAUCAAGUUAAUUACCUUUUCUUAAGCUUAGAAACACUGUUAUAAGGAUUAGUUCAUCAAGUGAGGCUCUAGACUAAGUCAUGGACUUUUGAAGUGUUACAAAUAUAUGAUCCAAUUUCAUGAACUGGUGGACAACCGUACAAAGCUACUAAAAUGAGUACAAACUCCAUAAAUAAGCAAAAUAACUAAAUACUUGUGUCGAAUACAAAAGACUAUACAAAAACUGUAUACAAAAAAAGAUGAGUUAAACAAGAACGCCAUCAACUAACCUUCUAUCUUUGAAUGUCCCAGAACUUGUACACAAGAUCAACAUGGUUGGCUGGUGCUAAGGUUUGCAUUAGGAAAAAAGAUGCAAAGUAUAACAUGACUACCAAAAUAAUCGGUAUCUAAUAGACAUCAAAGACCGACUGAGCUUGGAAAUUAAAUACUCAAUGAAAAGAGGGAAGUAAAAUGGUAUCAAAGAGGCAGAAAAAUGGAAUAAUAAUGAGAAGUCUAACCAUGCGCCUCAAUAUUCUAGCAAAAAGCAGGACAAUAAAGUAAAGCAACUGUAACGAUUCGGGAGUACCCCCUAGUCGCACACGACGUACUUGACCUAUCGAAGGUCUUAUACAAGCCUGUUAGCUUCAUUAUAUAACAUCGUAUAAAAAUGGAGGGAUUUAAAAACUUUUCUUUAAACAUAAUACAAAAGUCAUUUUAUAAUAGCGGAAGUAUUUCUAACAUGUGUCUCAAAACCAUCUAUGAAAUCAUGAGUAAUAAUGUUUUUGAACGCAGCGCACAAAAGUCUAAAACAUAGUAAAUGACAUAAAGGGAACAUAAGGGUGUUGUCCUCAAAUGCUAUGAGGAUUCACCAAUUUUCAAUAUUCUCCGAACUUAGGAACCUAGCAUCCAAACACUCAAUCUCCCAAAAGCCCCUACAUUUGGUUAGAAAUGUAGGCAAUAUGUGUACGUUAGUUCAAAGAACUAAGUAAAAAAUUUAACAUAUGAAACAUAAGAUAUCUCAAGGGUUAGUCAAUAUAAGAAUAAUCAUAAGAGAUAAUAACAUAGUCAUAACAUAAAUCCAACAUAGGCAUUCUAAUAUAUAGUAACAAAUCAUAAGACACACUUAAGUUCAUACUUCCACUACUUGUCCUUCUUACUCAAGUUAAUUACAUCACAAGCCACCUCCAAGUAUAUUUGUGCAAGACCAAGGUAGAAUCCCAUACUACUACCUUAUAUAAGUACCUCUCUUUGGUCAUUCUUGAUCAUAAUCAAAUUUUAUAAUUAACACCUAAAUUUUUCGUGACAAAAGAGCACUAUACCCCUAGAUCACCUCAAGGAACACUUGUGCAAUGCAUGUGGGGCAUCCCAUUCGACCACAUACACUAAGAAUAUCUUGAAGUUACCUUAUUCACUUUCUCAACUCUACGUGUCACUAAUAGACCUACUUCAUCAUGACAAGGAACUAUUAUCUUAAGUCAAUCAUAACAUGGAAGACAACUAAUGCAACUAUACAAGCUAUUCGUACAUAAAAUAAGAGGUCAUUUCAUAGGUAGCUUUAAGUCAUACUUGUGCCAUGUAUGAAUGACAUCCCAUACUAGCAUUCAUACUAAGUACUUCCUUAAGCUAACCUAAUCCAUGCUAACUUAUCUUACAUUCUAUCUACUGAAAUGAGCAUACUAACAUAAUAGACCACUUCCAUGGAAAACAUCAUCAUCACAUUCAAUACAAGAUAACAAAGGAAAGAUAUAAAGAUACUAACCUAGCCACCAUGAAACCAUUCAUGUAGAUUUAAGCUAUCUAUAGGGGAGCAUAAGUCCUCAACCAUAAGCUAUUCUUAGGAGAGUGUAACAUCUCAAUCCUAAGUUACCAUGAAGUGGUCUUGGCCUAACCAAAUCAAGCUCCCAUGAAGACAUUCUAGUCAUGCUACUCCAAGCUAACCCUAGGAGAUUAUUGAUCCUUCAUUCUAGGCUACCGUUCCUACUAAUAAUGCAAGCUACCAUAACAAACAUUCAACCAAUACAAGAUCAAGCUAACCUCAAGAGAUCUUACUUCCUCAAUACCAAGCUAUCAUGAGACACACCAUCCCAAGAUACCAUGAGAUCUACUAUCCCAAGCUAUCAUGAUUCAACUAUUCAUGAGGGAAUCCAUAAGUUCAACCUCAAGCUAUUAUACUUUAACAAGCAUGAUUCACUUUAGAUGAUUAACUUUUCACAUUCUACAUACAUGCAAACUACACAUAAUAUUAGACUCUUCUACAAGCCUUAGUGAUCAACAAUAUGACUUCAAUCCAUUCCUUCAAACUUUACUUCAUGAGCUCAUACUAGUCUAGAUUUCAAGACACAUUAGUUCUAAGCCUUAGUCAUCAGACAAUUCUGAACACACUUCAUCAUAAAGUCCCAAUUCUAAUCAAUCCAAUUCACUUUCUAUCAUAUAUUCAUACAUCUAGGUUAAUUCAUGAUUUCAUAAUUCUAUUAUUUAUGAAGUCCUAUACAUAUUAAUAAUUCAAGACAAUCUAACAAGAAUCACCAAUUUCUCAUUCAAAACCUAAACCCACAUAAUCUAGAAAUUAGGGUUAAUCAUAAAUUCUUUAUAAUCACAUGAAUCAACAUCAAUUUAAUCAUAUAUGAGCAGUAUCCAACCAUUUGGAAUCAUACCCACCUAAAACCCAAGCAUUGGAAGUAACCCUACUUUAAUCGGGGUUCUUCUCCACAGAUUUGGGGAAAUUCUAGAGGAAUGCAUGGGUGGAAGAACCCAUGGAUGAAGAGCUUUACAUACCUUAAACAAACUUCAAUCAGGGGGGGGGAAUUCGACCUAAGAUGUUGCCUCUUCCCUUUUCUUCUUCUUCUUCUUCUUCUUCUUCUCUUCUUCUUCUUCUUCUUCUUCUUCUUCUUCUUCUUCUUCUUCUUCUUCUUCAAGAUUUGGAUUCUUUCUAGAGAGAGAAUCAUUUGAGUUGAGAGGAUUUGGGGUUUCUCGGAUUGGGUCUAAUGAAAAGUGAUUUUUUUGAGGGCUAUUUAACAAUUUUUUUAAAUAAAUCCCGAAGGUACCACAAAGCAAUCCUACUUUAAUUGGACUUAAAAUCAAUCAUCCAACUUAACUUUAAUUGUUGCAAGUGUCAUCGUGGAAGAAGUCCGCGACACAGAGAUGUUCCCUAGCUUCACUAAAAUAGGAUGGUGGAACAGAAUAGUCAGCGACAGCUCCGCAGCGUGGAGGUAGAUUUUGACCUUUGGGGGAGCAGGUCCGCGACACGAGCCACUCCCUAACGGUACUUCCCAAGGCUGCCAAGGCAGCUUCUUUAUACUCAAUUUCACCUCCAUUUUGACCUCGAGGACCCUUAGGGUUGUCCUCAGAGAGUUGUACCUUAACGUUUUGGCACUAAACAUGUCCAUAUAGGUGUAGGAAUCCUUUAUACUCAAUUUCACCUCCAUAUGACACCCAAAAACUCAACCAAAAAAGCCUAUGUCACACUAGUUCAACUAUGAUAGUUUAUGGACGUCUUGGUCGUCCUGUGAAGUUUCUCUUCUAAAAUUACCAAUCAAAGUUAAUGGCAAUAAAUUAGGUCUAUAAAUCAUUUUAACCCUUUUUAAGUUAUUAGGCCUCAUGUAGGGCUCUAGGUCGUCCUAUUUCAUUUUGAGGGUCAUAUGACAAUAUUCUCCACUUGGGAACAUUCGUCCUCGAAUGACACCUUUCUUAACACUUCUUAAAGGACCAAAUAUAAACUAGUAGCCCAUCGUGUAUGAAUUAUUUCUAAAUUAACGCACCGAACCAAGGAGACUUCAAUUCCAAGAUAGACAUACCUAAUGCAACUCAAGAUGAAUGAAGGAUACAUACUUACUAAAUUUCCAAGGAGAAUUAACUUCUCCAAGAUACAACAUGUUCAACAUAACUUUAUGGAGCCUAAAAUGCUCAUUGACUCAAUUGUGUCACAACAAUAGACAAUUCCAUGAAACUAGAUCAAUUCUAACAAGGUCUAGACACCUUCAUAACAUUCAAGGAAAACCAUGGCUACAUUUAAUCAUAUCAAAACCUUAUGGAAAUGGCUCACUAUCCCUCACUUGGGAGUUAAGACCGCACAUAUCUUUAUAACAUCAAAAUUCAUCAUAAUAAGGGCAAUCAUCAAGUCCAAAAAGCAAGUCAUAAAAUAAGAAAAUCUUGAAAUUUUCAUAAAUCAUCAAAGAAGCACAUUACCGGAAAGGUACAUGAGGAGAUUACUUUUUUAUCUUCCUUGGAUUGGAGAGAUAGAACCUAUUCCUUUAUAAGAGGAGCAUCUUCCACAUCACUAGUAGCAACUUUCUUGCCUCCCUCACAUUAGCCUUUGCCUUAAGGCAAUCCUUCUUCAUGUGUCCACUCUUACCACAACCAUAACAACCAUUCUAUCGGUCAAACACCGAUCCUCAUGUAUUUUACCACACCUAUAACAAGUAGUCCAGUGGUCUAGGGUUAGACACCUUCUCAUCCUUAUACUUUGGGAGCAUUAGAAUAACCUUGUCCGGAAAACUUUUGUCGAUUCUUAGAACGAUCAUGUCCCUCGGACCCAUUAUUGUCCACCCUAUCCCUCUUUCUCUCCUUCUUAUGUUUUGACUCCUCUAAUUUUUGGGAAAACAUUGAGGCGUGAGAUAUCCAUAUCAUCAACAAGCAUUGCCAUACAACAUUCUUCUUCUACUAGUUCAGACACCUCUGUCAUGAACCUAUUCAUCAAAUCCCUAGGACUUGCUACCAAAUAUGGAGCAUAUUUAGACAAAAGAGUGAACUUCAAGGGCAUACUCUUUAACACUCAUAUUGCCUUGCUUAUAUGAAUUCCUCCAACUUAGCCUCUUUUUCUGUAGGAAAGAACCUAUCAAGGAAAGUCAACUUAAAAGUUUCGCACUCUAAGGACCCUCCCCUAGAUCACCUUAAGGCACACUUGUUCAAUGCAUGUGGGCAUCCCAUUAUACCACACACAAAGCAUAUACUGAAUUCAGCCUAUUCACUUUCGUCAACUCUAGGUGUCACUAAUAAACAUACUUCAUCUUGACAAUGAACUAUUAUCUUAAGUCAAUCAUAUCAUGGAAGGAAACUAAAACAACUAUCCAAGCUAGUCAUACAUCACAUAAGAGGUCAUUUCAUAGGUAGGUUCAAGUCAUACUUGUGAUAUAUAUGAAUUACAUCUCAUACUACCAUUCAUACUAAGUACUUCCUUAGGCUAACCUAAUCCAUUCUAACAUAUCUUACAUUCUAGUUUGUUGAAAUUAACAUACUAACAUAAUAUACCAAAUUCCGUGGAAAACAUCAUCUCAUAAAAUCCAAGAUAAUAAAAGGAGGGAUAUAAGAAUACCAACCUAGACACCAUGCAACCAUUCAUGUAGAUGCAAGCUAUCUAUAGGGGAACAUAAAUCCUCAACCAUAACCUAUUCUUAAGAGAGUGUAACAACCCAAUCCUAAGCUACCAUGAAGUGUUCUUAGCCUAACCAAAUCAAGAUCACAUGAAGGCAAUCUAGUCAUCUACUCCAAGCUAACCCUAAGAGAGUAUAGAUCCUCCAUCCUAGGUUACUUUGCCUACUAUUAAUGCAAGCUACCAUGACAAACAUUUUAUAAAUGCAAGAUCAAGCUAACCUUAAAAGAGCUAACUUCCGCAAUCGCAAGCUAUCACGAGAAAAACCAUCCCAAGCUACCAUGAGAUCUAAUAUCCCAAGCUAUCAUGAUUCAAAUAUCCAUGAGGAAAUCCAUGGGUUCAACCUCAUUCUAUUUUAUUCUAACAAGCAUGACUAAUUUUAGGUGAUUAACCUUUCACAUUAUACAUGUAUGCAAGCUACUCAUCAUAUUAGACUCAUUCUACAAGCCCUAGUGAUCAACAAUAUGACUUCAAGCCCUACCUCUAACAUUAUUUCAUGAUCCUCGUACUAGUCUAGAUUUCAAGAUACAUUAGUUCUAAGCCUUAGUCAUAAGUCAAUUCUAAACAUACUUCAUCAUAAAGUCCCAAUUCUAAUCAAUCCAAUUCACUUUCUAUCAUACAUGCAUACAUCUAUGUUAAUUCACUAUUUCGUAAUUUUAUUCUUGAUUAAGUCCUAUACAUAUUAAUAAUUCAAGAGAAUCCAACAAGAAUUAUCAAUUUCUCAUUCUAAGCCUGAACUCACAUAAUCUAGAAAUUAGGGUUAAUCAUGAAUUCAACAUAAAUUCUUCAUAAUCACAUGAAUCAACAUCAAUUAAUCAUAUAUAAGUAGUAUCCAACUAUCUUGAAUAAUACCCACCUAAAACCCAUGCAUUGGAAGUAACCCUACCUUAAUUGGGGUCCUUCUUUACAAAUUAGGGGAAAUUCUAGGGGACUCCACGGGUGGAAGAACCCAUGGAUGAAGAGCUUUACAUACCUUAAACAACCUUCAAUCAAUGGGGGAAAUUCGACCUAAGAUGCUGCCCCUUCCCUUCUCUUCUUCUUCUUCAAGCUUUGGUUUCUUUCUAGAGGGAGAAUUAUUUGAGUUGAGAGGAUUUGGGGUUUUUGGAUUGGGUAUAAUGAAAAAUGACUUUUAUUGAGGUCUAAAUGACUAAAAAGACAUUUUUAAUAAAUCCCCAAGGUACCACAAAGUAAUCCUACAUUAAUUGGACUUAAAAGUAAUCAUCCAACAUAACUUUAAAUGUUGUAGGUGUCAUCGUGGAAUAAGUACGCAACGCGGAGUUGUUCCCUAGAUUCACAAAAAAGAAGGGUGGAACAGAAGAGUCUGCGACAACCUCCAUGACACGGAGGUAGAUUUUGACCUUUGGGGGAGAAGUUUCGCGACGAAGCCACUCCUUAAAGGUACUGCCCAAGGCAGCUUCUUUGGCCAACGUUGGAUGAUCCUUAGGGUGGUCCUCGGAUAGUCGUAUCCAAACGUUUUGAACCUAAACAUGUCACCCUUUUACGUAAUUUCACCUCCAUACGACACUCAAAAACUCAACUAAAAAAUCCAACGUCACACUAGUUCAACUAGGCUGGUUUUCAUACCUUGGUCGUCCUUUGACGUUUUGAUUCUAAAAUUACCUAAAUAAGUUAAUGACAAUAUAUUAGGUGUAGAAACAUCAUUUUUAACCCUUUUAUGGAUAUUAGACCUCAUGUAGGGCUCUAGAUCAUCCUAUUUCAUUUUGAGGGUCAUGAUAGCAACCUUUUAGGCCUACAUAAGCCUAGAAGGUACACUCGUGUACACCCGAUGAAUACAUAAAAGAGCUAAAGUUAUUCCUAACUAAUGUCUUAUUUUUUUACACUUAAUGGAGGUUUGAAUCUUAAUUAUUCAGAUUCAGCCCAUUAAUUACAUUUGAAUUUUAGGUCUGAAUCUGAAUCAUUCAAAUUUAGCCCAUUAAGUUCAUUUAUUUUAUUUUCUAAAAAACCUCUUAAUGAGUUUGAAUAGGUUUGAACGAAUCAGAUCUGUAGGAGACUCUUAACAACAUUCCGACUUAUUUGAUAAGAUAUCAAAUAAUAAAUCAUAGCUUUUCUGCUUUGGGCGUGCCUUUUUAUCUCAUAACUAAAAAAUUUCUUUCUCAUUUUUCUCAAUCAAACACCAUUUUUUCCCAAUUGGUAAGUUUUCAUAAAUCUUUUCAACUAUUUUUUUAUAUUAAUAAUUUUCUUAUAUUGAUGUGCGUCAAGAAAACUGGUUGCAAUGAUAUUUUUGGUAUAUUGUUGUUUAUCAAGGUUUUUGAAUGAAAAAAUAGUACUCCAAAUCUUGAUUAUUAAAAAUUUUAAAACUUUUUUUUUAUCAAAAGUGAUAUAUUAUGUUGAAAUGAAAAUGUUAUAAUAUUUUAUUAAUAUAAUGUUCAAUUUCAGUUCCACAUUCUGAUAUCGAAAACAAACAAGUUAAUUAUUUAGUGUUCAAAUUUAGAGACCACAUCUUAAUAUUCAGAUGUGUAUUCAGAUUAAAACACCUAGAUCUUAAUGCAAAUCUUAAUAUCCCGUGUGUAUUCAAUUUUAGACCUCUUAAUCUCAAUAGAAAAAAAUGGGGCCUAUGAUUAGAUAUAUCUAGAACUAGAAAGUCUGAAACCCAGACUCGAGUUGCACUAAGGGGCCCAAAGCAUCCAAUGAAAACAUGUUGUCGGGACUCAAAUCCGACUAAUAAUCUAAAAGGUUGACACAUAUAUAGUCAGCAUAACUCUUAUUCCUGCUCUGUGCUAAUCUAAGCAUAUCCUGAAUCACACGAACAAUAUGCAAAGCCUUUUAAUGCAAAUCAAUACCACGUGGCCUAGGAUUUGAAGCCUCUAAUAGGAGAGCGACAACUCCGACCGUAUAAGGCCUUAAAUGGAACAAUCUGAAUACUCAAAUGGUAGAUGUUGUUAUAUAUACACAAACUCUGUUAAGGUUAAGAACUUGUCUCAUUGACCUCCAAAAUCCAACAUAUAUGCCUGAAACAUAUCUUCCAAACCUGAUUAGCCUGCUUCAAUUGCUAGUCAGUCUGCAGAUGAAUAGUUGUGUUAAGGUCCACUCACCCAACCCCUCCUAAAGGUUUCUCUAGAAGCUAAAAGUGAAAUGAGAAUAUGUAUCAUAGAUAAUAUAUUCAUGCAUCCCAUGUUGACGAACUACCUCCUGAAUAUGCAGUAAGCUAACCUCUCAACACUUAAAGAAGACUGAAUGGUAAUUAAAUAUGCAGGAUUCGCCAAUCAAUCAACGACUACCCAAAUACUAUCGACACCUCUAAAAGUUUGAGGCAAUUCCAUAACAAAACCAUAGGGAUGCAUUACUAUUUGAAAUUUGAAAGGGUAAUCUCUUGAACUUAAUAAAUAAUUUUAACGUAUAAUUACUCUAUUAACUAUAAGUCAUCUAAAUAGUUAAAUUUCCCAGCAACUACUAAAACCUUCUUUCAUGAUUUACCAUGUGCAUUAAUUAGUUAAUGUUAUUAUCAAUGUGCAAUUUCAUCUAUAAAAAGGCAUAGCCACACAAAAUGAAAUUCACCAAAUCAAUAAACUCAAAGAGAGAGAGAGAGAGAGAGAGAGAGAGAGAGAGAGAGUACAUUAAAAACUUGAAGUAGUUGAAAAAUGGCUGGUGAGAAAGAAAUAACAAAAGUGGCAAUUAAUAAGUAUAGGCGGUUCCCGCAUGAAGAUUAUGUUGCACCUGUAGAAACUAUGGAGUGGGGACAUGGUAGCCCUCCAAUUUAUGACAGUGUUAAUAAUGUCUUUUAACAAGGAAGAACCAAGGUUUGUUAACUUUUAUUCCCUCUCUUAAUUUAUGUGAUAUUUUUUCAAUUCCGACAGUUCAUCAUAAUUUUUCACAAGUCAUCUAAAUAUUUUGAGUUGUUAGUUAUUGUAUUAUUUUGUACUCCCCUCCUGCCCAUUUACUUACUGUGUGAAAUAAUUCUUACUUGGUGAUCUCAAUUUAUUAAUAUUUUUUUACGUCAUCACUUUAAUUAUAAUCUCUCUCAACAUUUAUUGAUUAAGGUAAAUAUGAAAAUUAAGAACUAAUAAUAUAUUGAUUUUAUAAAAUGACAAUUUUGGAUCUUCUACUUUUAAUAAGAACGGGAUCGGAACUAAAAUGAAUUGGAUGGAAUAUUAAUUUUUAUGUAAUUUUUAAAUAUAUAAAUUUUAUUUUAAAUGAUUUAAAAAUUUUAUGCUGGAAUUCAUAGUUAAAUUUAAGAAACUAUACCAUCAUCUUUCUUGUCAAUAUGAUUUGUUUUGUUUGGUUUAAUGAUUAAAUCAGGUAUGGCCAGAAGGGUCUCUUGAAGAAACAAUACAAAAUUCUAUAUAGACAUUUGAAAUGGAGCUUAAAGGACAUGCACCUACUGGUGAGAUGAUACAAUUCUAUGGCAUUGGAAUUAUGAAGGUCUAUCUUUCCCUCCCCCUCCCUCUUAUAUACGCUCUUCGUUUUAAUUUUAUGUGACAUCUUUUAACUAGGUACAAAAUUUAAUUAAAACAAAAAUUUAAAAUUUGUGAUUCAAAACAAAACUUAGAUAUGUUGUAGCUUUAUAUUAUAUAAUAGAAAAAAUAUGCCUCAUAAAUAUAACUUAAGACAAAAACAAUAUAUCAUUUUCAUUUUAUUUCAUUAUUAUCUAAUUAAACAUGGGUAUUAGAGAGGAAUAAAUAUGUAGCUAAAGAGUGAAUUUGUCAUUGAUUCUAUUUAGAGGCGAAUUAUUAAAGAAAAUUAUAUUAGCUACGAGCAAUUUAGCGAUGAAGCUAAGCUCGUUGCUGGUUUUAAUAUAAAAUGAAUUAAUGAGUUCUUAGCACAUGUGUAAAUUAACAUUGACAGAUUGAUUUAACUAUAUAUAUAAAUUGAAAGUGCAAUUUUUUUUUAUUAUAAUAUCAUUUAGUUGUGAUGUAAUUACUGCAGUAUCUAGAAUUCAUUGUGAGUAUACGAAAAAUAACUUUUUUUUGUAACAAGUUAAAUUAUAUUAAUAGUUAAAAAAACGUACUUUUAACGUAUCGAAAAGAUAAAGAAUAUCGUAUAAAAUAAAAUUAGGGGUUUGUUUGAUACACAUUUUCAAUAUUUAAUUAGUCCAAAGCAUUUUUGUAUGUUAAGAAGUAUAGUUGUUCACAUACACUAAUACAAAACUUAUUAGUUUAACUAACUAGUUGUUUUUUUUAUAUUAGCAGGUAAAUAAAUGUCUUUAAGAGUAGAGGAAUUAGAGUUGUAGUAUGAUCCAACACAACUUUUUGGUGGACUACUCAAGGGGCCGAAAAUCUAACACUGAGCAUCAGGGCCAGGAUGAUAAUACCACCACUCAGCAUUACCCAUACAACCACAACUAAUUAAAUUUUAUGCAACUCUUUAUAUUUUUUCAGUCAUCAAACUUUCUCUAUCUACAUUUUUCUUGAUAUGAUGAUUGUCUUUCAAUUUUCCUGUAUACACUAAGAUAUGCCUACUCUUCUUAAGCCAUAAUGAUUAUUAUGAAAAAAUGAACUUAAUUGAAUCGACUCGUUUGAUUCAAAUAAAUUGGAACAUCUUACUUGCAUCUUUGGUGUUUAUAGCAAGCAAAUAAUUAGACAUCCUCAAAAAACAAAGAAGGAAGAAUAACAAAAUGGACAUUUGGAGACGCAGACCAUUGAAUUACCUCCUCCCCCUUGAUUCCUUACUCCCCGUCCUGUCACGAUCCAAAUGGUUGUGAAUAACAUAAGCAAAUCUCUCAAAUGCAAACUUAGUUCCCUCACCACAAAGAUAACCCUAUCGCUUACAUAUAAAUAUUUGUAUAUGAGGGACAAUAGGAAACACUCUCUUAUAAUGAAAUUCAAACCAUGCAUACAUAACUCAUAAGUUUGUCCUUAUUAUUUUGGCACCAACUUUACAGACAAUAAGACUAGGAUUACUAUAUAUAGGACUUUCUUAACUUAUAACAUAGGCUCGGGGGUAAAGGUAGGAUACAUUUGGGAGCAAUGACAAUACCCUCCUUGUUGCCCUUUUUACCUUGUUUUCCUUUCUUUUGUUUGACAAUCUUUUCUCUUCCUUAAUUUAUAAUAUUUUGAAUGUGACUCCCCUUCCUUUCUCUCUUUUCAUUCAAUAUUCUCUUUUUUCAAUUUGAAGGUAAAUGCAUUCACACUAUCUUAAUACGCCAUAUCAACAUGUGUUGAUCAUUUCUAAACCUAUCUUUUUCAUACCCCAUUGUACUAUUCCUAUAUACUCACGGUAGCCACCCUCAAUUUAGGCAUUUUUUCCUGAGUUGAGGUACAUGAUGUCUAAGGAGGGACAUGGUCAAAGGAAGAUAAACAUAUGGCAACAUACAUGGAGGCAUUUAUGCUCAAAAUUAGGGACAGGGUCUAAUUUUUGGAGGCAUUUUUCACCUAUGUAGGAAAAAUACAACAACAAAUCAGGUGGGAAAGCAUACGAUGGUAGAUAAAUUAUCUUUUCUCUUAGCUUACUGGGGUGCGUCAGAUCGAGGCAUCGUCAUGAGUUAAUUUGAGUUGCUUCCGUAAUUUUGUGUUAACAGUUUGCUAUGAUAUUAAAGUUACAUAGCAAAAAAAUUCGUAAAUCUCAACAACAUAUAUUAGAGGAUUGUCAAUGUCAUUCAAGUUUGUAAAAUCCAUUUUUUCAUCUGUUAGUAAUCGUUUAAUAUAUGAACUCCACUUUAGGUGAAUUAUAAAUAUGUUUUUGAAAUCUAAUACGUACAUAUACUCUAUAUUUACGUAAGCUUAUGCUGAAAUCUAUUUUUGAUUUUAUGAAUUCAAAUGCAUUAUAUUAUACGACGACAAGUUCUUCCUAGCUAGUUUUUUUAUUUAGAAAUCUUCUACGUAUUAUUGUUAGUAGUAUCUUUUUGUAAGAAAUUUAUUUUGCAGUGGAUUCUUGACUCUUUGGGAACAUAGCUAAAGCUAGGCUCACUUUUCAUGCUAAUGUUGUUUCUGAAACUAUUAGGUACUUGCUUGCAUAUAGCUAGAAGGUGUAUGUACAAGCUAAAAGAAAGGACUACUUGAUGCAUUUGUUUGGUCUAUGAUUUGAGCUCUUCAGGUUGUAGUAGGAGUACAAUUUAUGUGCUAAAAAUCUAAACUUGAACUCUCAAUAUAUGUUGGAGUUUUUCAACUACUAUCUUGAAACUUUUGUUUACUUUUAUAUCGUUGUAUCGUAUUCCUGAAUCAGUGUGAGAUAUUUGCUAGUUCGUCACUUGUACAAAUUGCUUGAUUGGAACUUUGUCCUUUUUACUUUGACUUUAAUUUGUUACCAUAUCGCAUGCCUCUUGUUUAGAAUUUUUUUUCAUCUUGACUUUGAAUUUGUGGUCCAUCUUAGUUAUGGAAAUUGUACAUUUUAAGUACAAACUAGAAGCAAUUUAUAACAUUGUUCUUGAUUCUCUUGAUUAUUGGGUUUCAACCCUACUUGGUACAGGGCUUUAUUCUUUCUCAAUAUUUGAUUAUGUUUGGUAUUAACGACAUGACGUAUCUAUUGAGCAAAGUAUGUUAUUUGACAUUUCAUGAAAUUGUUAUAUCAACUUUCUUGAACUUGAGUCUUUAAACGUUGAAAUUGAUACUUUUUUGUAGUCUUAUAUGAAGAUCACAUUUGCAUAUAUAUAUAUAUAUAUAUAUAUAUAUAUAUAUAUAUAUAUAUAUAUAUAUUGUAAUAAUUAUGAGAAUGGUAUGUAAUUCAUAUGUUACAUCUAUAUAUAGUGUAAAUAUAAAUUUGAAUCUGGUGACUUAUUGGCUGCUUUGAAGUGUGUAGCUUGGGUUGUGUAAUGUUUUGAAGUCACAUUUUGGUUAUAAUAUAGUAUAAUGGAUGCAACUAGUGUAAUUUAAUAUUCAAAAGUACGAAAAUAGUUUAAAAUAGCAGAACCCUAAUGUUGCGUUGAAUGAGAAAACUUUGGAAGGUACUUAAUUAUUUUGAUAUUCUUUUUAAUGUGCAAUUGAGUCUUUGAUGUACUUUUAAGAUCUUUAAGAAUACGCCUAAUUCUGCCAUAAAAUUAUAAAUAAAUAUUUUAUUUAUUUACUUAUUUUUAAGAUUAGUCUUUUAUACGUAGAUUAGUUUUUGUGUUGCAAGUGACAUACUCUAAGUAGAGGGUCACUACACAUAUUGAGACGUCAACUUUGGCAUAUUACAUUGUUGGAUCAUCACCUCCUUCAAUUAUGGCAUAUUAUACAAUAUUGGACCAUCACCUUCUUUAGCGAGAUAUUAGAUUGACAUAUUAUACAAUGUUGAAUUGUCACUUCCUUUUAACCUAACAUAUUACAUUAUGUUGGAUCAUAUCCUCUUUCAAUGUGACAUAUAUUAAUACUUGUCUACUCCUUUCUUUUCUUUGAAAUAAUUGGUUUCAAAUGCAUGAGAUAAUGUCUAUUGUUUUGAUUACUAAUUACUUGUCUAUUUCGAUAAAUUAAAAAAGAAUAUUUUUUUAUAUCUAUUAUACCCUUAAUUAUUUAUUUGGGAAAAGGUAGAACUUCUUGAAAAUAUUAAGUUUUUAAUUCAUCUACUUCAUAAUUAAUAGGUGUAAAAAGGUAAACUCACUACAUCAAUAAUUGUUUUCUAAACAGAUGUGUCAAUUUAAAAGUGAACAAGUAAUAAUUAAGAACCCUUGUUAACCGAAAUAACAACUUUAUUACUAAACGUUUGUUGUCCAAACAAUACUAAAUUGGGAAAUUUUCAUAUAUGGCAAACGGAUUUUAUGAAAUUACAUUUCAUGGGCAUAGUUUACAUAAUUAUAUUCCAUGGGUAUAGUUUAGUUUGUUAGGUGCCUUUAAAUUUGUAUAUAAUAUUUUUUUAACUAAAUUUAUACAAAAAAAAUUAUUUUUUCAAUAUUGGUAACAGUAGCACAAAAGAUGGUAACGAUAAAUUCACAUAAUACUGUGAUUUAAGCAAAACAUUCAAAAAUUAAAUAUUUUCCCAAAAAGAAUUCUAAAGCUAUAGAAAGACAAUACCAAUUUUAAAGCACACGACCGAAGUAUCAUAUUAACGUUCAAAAUCAAAUAUUUUCUCAUUUUUUAAAAGAUAAAUCUAUGAAACACUCAAUCGUUUAUGAUCCCAUUUCUAUACCUAUAAAUUGAUUAUGUUGUAUAUAUUUGAGAUGUAUAUAAUUUUUACACAAUAUUUGUGUAUUAUUGAUUAUAUGUUAUUAACUUGUGUGAGGCGUUAUUUUGUUAAACUCUGCCUUAUGUGAGGCCCCUAUGAAUGAAUGUUUAUAUUGUGUUUUAAAAUGAUUUUUAUGUUGUCUAUCUAAGUGUAUUGGCGUUAUUCAGGUGUGCUUACAUAUGCUGUGUUAGUUAUGUGUUUCGGAUGAAGUGUUGCAUAUUAAUUGAAGCUUCAAUUGACAUCAUAGAUGCAAGAGAUCUCUACAUACAAAAUGACACACAUACAUGCAUUGACAAUUUUACUUAAACACAACAACAACAAAUCAAAGAGAACUCCAAAUAUGUUGCACUUUAACUACUGGUUGCUGAUGAACAUAGCAACAACAAAAAAGAACUCCAAAUGUGUUGCACUUUAACUACUGGUUGCUGAUGAACACAACAACAACACAAAUCAAAAUACAGAAAACUAUCUUCCUAUUGAACCUUCUAUUGAGUCUCCUCUCCAACAACAAAUUAAAGUUCCUCAAAUUUUCAAUAUAAACCUGUCUAAUAUGUAAUUCUUGCUCCAAGUCAUUGAUUUUAUUCACAAAUCUUGGAAGGAUAAAACUUGAUCUUGGAUCCACUUCUUCUUUGUCUCUCUAUCGAAAAAAUUUGCAAACUUUAGACUGAAAAUGAUCCAAAUAGGUACAUCAGCAUCGUCAAAAUAAAAUGUAUCAAAAAUACAAGAGAAAAAACACAUACACCAUGCAUGGGCAAGACCAAAAUCUUCUUCCCGGAUUUAAUUUCGAUUAAGAAGUUUGCAAAUUCAGCAAAAUUCCAUGUUUUUAUCUCACUACAACGUUGAGCAUUGGGUUUCAUUCAACCAUACAAAGCGUAUUCAAGUUUUCAUUUGCCAUUUUUGAUGAAUUUCGAGAAAAUUCAAACUUCUAAUUAGAAACCUAAAUAACAAAUUUGAUCACAUUACAAACCCUAAAUUCAAGAUUUGAAGUACAAAUGAACAUUUACAACUAAUCCCUACUUGAUUUUGAGAGGAAUUCGUGAAUUUUUUACUAAAGAAACAAGGUUUAAUGGUGGGGAAAGAAGAAGUAAUGGGUAUUUAAAAGUGGGGAAGAUGACCGUUGGAUAAGGGGGAAUUUUUUCGUCAAAUUUUGCUUCAAACGCGCCUAGAGGCGGUGACAACACCUCCCAUGACAGGUCAGCACUUUGAUUGGUAGAAAAUAUAUAAAAAUAUAGUUUAGGUGGGUAAUGGAACACCCAUGAAGUUGGAGUGCGUAGUUGGGAUUUCGGGUAUAGGUUGGGGGGGGGGGCUUUUGAUCAUUUUCUCUAAUAAUCGCGAUAAUAAAUACAAGUAGAAGAGAAAGGAAACUCAAUACCUUUAGGCUUCUUCAAAAAGUCAUGCCACAUAUAAGCAGUCAUAGUGGAGCUACUACUAAUAAACUCAACUGUGGGGAUAUUGAGUUGAGAAGCAGCCAAUGGCUGAAGAAAAUCAUAAAUGAGUAAAUCGGGUUUUCAAGAUUUUGGUAAAUUGAGGAGUAGAUGAGUCAAAAACACCAUGCUUGACCAACACAUAGUAUUAUAUACUUUUGUGACAAGUUACUUGAUAUUACUAAGAUUCUGCUUUGGUGAAAGCUAUUUGUUGCUUGUUACCAACAAUCUUAAUCAAUAAAACAUCAUGCUUGACCAAAACAUACAUGUAUUAUAUACUUGUGCGCUUCUCUUGAUGAAAGUCACGAGGGACGAGCAUUAAAGAUUUGCUAACAUGAUUAGAAUUAUCUUGGCUACAAGAACGCAACUUAGUAAGAGACCGACAGUACACCAUAAGCGGUUGUGCUCUAACCUGAUUGGGGUAUCGGCCUACUAUACUUGUUUUUACUGAUACAUGAAGAUAUUCUCUAUCAAGUCAACCUCCUUCAAAGAUAACUUCCCCUAGUUUAUUUCAUGAACAUAGUGAGCGUUUCCAUCUCAAAGGCAAGUUCAGAAAUGCUGUGAAAGGUCCCUUCAUGACAAUGUUUGACUGGACAGGGAAUUUAGGAAGAUUUUUGAAACUUGUGGUCUUAAAUGUUCCAUGAGAUUGGCGGUGCCAUUAAUGGUAAAUUGUGAAGUUUAAAGUUAAUUUGUUUCCAAGGAAAAUAAAUAUUUAUAUUGUUUUUGAAAUAGAUUGAUUGGAAAUAGUGCCAAAAAAAGGAACAGAGGAAGAAAUAUUGUGUGAUUCUCUAAAUAGUCAUAUCAACUGGACAGUGAAUCUAUAUAUGUUUGUCCGUAGAAUCAUAAUUUGAAGUUGUUAUAGUAUAAAAUCCAAGGUUAAAAGGAGGACUUCUUGUGGGAAGUCAAGUGAUUCUUGCUAUCAUGGAUGCCGAGGGCAUGAUAGGUUAUAACCUCAUAAAGGGAAGGUGUCACGGGGUUAAUUUUCGCACCUCGUGGGACAAACAAGAAAGUUUGCACGACUCCUCUAAACUUCAGUCCAACCAAACACAAACGGAACGGAAGCAAGACAGUCCCCAUACAGCCACAAACAAUGAAAGGAAAACAAGAAAGAAACCAAGUCUUUGGGAGGUCAACAAGCCAAUUUUCCAAUAAUCUUCCAAGAGUUUUUACAAGAGGGAAAAUACAAGUAAGAGAGAAAAGAAAGAGUAUUCUAAGUAUUCUAUGUGAUAAAUUUGUCUAAGGCAAUGUACAAGGCUUCUAAGUAAGCCCCAAAACGUUUGGCCCCAAGCUUCAAAGAGAAGGCUCCAUGUGGCAAAUUUUCUAAGGCUGGAAAAGAGGCAGUUUUGUCUUCCCUGCUUUACUGCCACAUGGCAGACUGGCUGCACAGAUUUUUGUCUUCAAGCAUUUGGCUGGCCUGAUGAGCAUGGCAAGUUCCUUCUUUCUUGCAAGGCACCUCCAUCAGUUGGCCAAGAGUUUGGCAAGGCUUUAGACCCUCCGAUUUUGUGAUGAGAUGUUGCUGCUUUGUAAGAGACGUUGGAUUUUAAUGUACCGCCUUGCGGGGUUGUACACGCUCCCCCACCUGAAUUGGAGACGACCCCGACGCCACACAACUGCAAGUACUGAUGGACCUUGUCGCGAAACUGCCACAAGUCCUCGUAUCUCUCCCAAGUCGCCUCCACCGGUGCUGUUCCCUUCCAGUGAACUAGGAAUUGUGAACUAGAAUUGUUCCAGCCUUUCCCACGAACAAGCUGGUGAUCGAUGAUAGCCUCAAUUUGUUUGUCCACUGUACGCCGCGUGAUGAAGAUUCUGGCCCUCUCGGACUGCCCCCAUUCCUUAUCUUCCUUGUCUUCGAAAUAAGGCUUUAGUUGGCUUGCGUGGAAGACAGGGUGAAUCUUCAAGUGAUGAGGCAUGUCAACCCGAUAAGAAAUUUUGUCAGCCUUGGCAAUAAUCUCGAAUGGUCCCUCGUAUUUGCGAAUCAAAUUCUGAUUCACGCUUCACAGCGUCUUGAAUUGCCUGGGAUUGAGUUUCGCCAUAACUCGAUCCCCAACCUGAUAAUCCACUGGACGUCGCUUACGAUCAGCAAAUUUCUUCAUCUUCCGGGCAGCCUUGUCAAGGUACGACCGUGCAAGGUCGACUUGUUCUUCUCAGGCCUUGGCCAUCUGAUAGGCACCUGUACUUUUGAAACCGACGUCGACGGGCAAGGAUUGGGGCGUGUUAGGCUGCUGCCCCGUUACUAACUGAAACGGACUCCUUCCCGUCGCCUCACUGUGCUGUAAGUUGUACGAGAAUUGGGCAGUAUCCAACAGUCUUUCCCAAUCCUUCUGAUUGGCACUAACAUAGUGCCGCAAGUAGCAUUCCAACAGUGCAUUGAUCCUCUCCGUCUGCCCGUUUGUUUGAGGGUAGAAGCUGGUCGAGAAAUGCAACUCCGACCCCAAUAAGCUAAACAAUUUCCUCCAGAAUGAGCCAGUAAACCGAGGAUCCCAGUCGCUGAUGAUAUGUUUAGGAAUGCCCCAGUACUUAACCACAUCACGCAAAAAGAUCCGGGCAGCUUCUUUGGCUUUGCAGUUGGCCGUCGUGGUAGUGAAUGUCGCAUAUUUAGAGAAGCGAUCCACCACGACCAUUAUUGUCCCAAACCCCUCCGAGUUUGGCAAGCAGGUGAUAAAGUCCAUGGUGACGAUGUCCCAAUGCUUUUCGGCAAUGGGCAGCAGCUCAAGCAGUCCGCCGGUACCUUUGUUUCUACCUUGCCCACUUCGGGACGUACACACGCCUGCCCGUUGUAUGGAGCAGGCCGCCUUCUUCCCAAAAUUUCUUUGUCCUGCCUUGUUGGGCUAAGGCAAAGAGUUGCUUGGCAACUGGAUCAUGCUGUAAUCCCUCCUUUAUGUCAUCAACAAGUGAGCUGCAACUCGAGCUCACAAUGGCAGCCAAAUAUGUCUUGCGGCUAAAGGCGUCGGCAACCACAUUCGCUUUCCUCGGUUUGUACUCUAGAGUGAAGUCGAAUUCUGCUAAGAAGUCUUGAAAUCGGGCUUGCUUAGCGGACAGCUUCUUUUGGGAUUGGAAAUAUUUCGUCGCGAUGUUGUCCGUCUUGACGACAAAGUGAGCUCCCAGCAAGUAAUGGAACCAUGUUCUAAGGCAGUGAACCACAACUGCUAUCUCCUUCUCAUGCGCUGAAUACCGCCGCUCUGCUUCAUUCAACUUUAUGCUCUCAUAGGCUAUCGGGUGGCCCUCUUGCAUUAGGAAACCACCGAUGGCAAAGUCUGAUGCAUCAGUGUGGACUUCGAAUUCCUUGAAGAAGUAUUGCAAGGCCAACACAGGCUCUUCCGUCACAGCAGCCUUCAUCCUCUCGAAGGCAGCUUGGCAAGCCCCCGACCAAUUCCAUUCGCGGUCCUUCUUCAGCAAGUCCAUGAGAGGAGCUGCAAUUGCUGAAUAGUUGAAGAUGAAGCGACGAUAGUAAUUGGCAAGGCCAAGGAAGGACCUCAAUUCUGGUACCUUCGUUGGAGCCUCCCAAUUCUUGAUAGCAUCUAUCUUAUCGCUGUCCAUUCUGAUCUCACCGUGGCUGAUAGUAUGCCCAAGAAAAUGGACCGUUGAUUGAGCAAAACUGCAUUUCUCACGCUUUACGCACAGUUUGUUGUCGUGCAAGACUUCGAAAACUUUGCACAAGUGCUCUACAUGGUCCUCCAUGUUGUUGCUGUAGACAACAAUAUCAUCCAAAUAAAUGACAACAAACUGAUCCAAGUAGGAGUGGAACAGUCUGUUCAUCAGUAUGCAGAAUGUCGCUGGUGCAUUUUUCAACCCAAAUGGCAUUACCAGCCAAUCGAAGACACCAUAGCGCGUUACACAAGCAGUCUUUGGUUCAUCACCUUCGACAAUCCGAACUUGGUGAUAACCCUUUCUCAAAUCCAUCUUGGUGAACACCUUUGCCUGUCCCAACCUGUCGAAAAAAUCCGCAAUCAAAGGAACGGGGUACUUGUUCUUCAUCGUGACCUUGUUGAGGGCUCGGUAGUCAAUGCAUAACUGCAGCGUCCCGUCAUUCUUCUUUUGGAAUAGAACAGGUGCACCAAACGGCGCCUUUGACAGCUUAAUGUGUCCAGCAUCCAGCAACUCCUUGAGCUGCUUCCUUAACUCUUCCAGUUUUGGGGGCGCCAUGCGAUAAGGCGUCAUGGCAGGCGGCUUUGCCCCUGAAACUAGCUCAAUUUGGUGAUCAACUUCCCAUCAGGGUGGCAGCCGUUGGGGAAUUUCUGUUGGCAUCACGUCUUUGUUGUUGCUAAGGACUUGUUCGAUGCAAGGCGGCAUUGGAACUGCCUCUGUGCAGAUUUCGGCGUCCUCAAUCAGGUGGCAAGAAAUGUUGGCUCGCCUCUCUUGAAGCCCUAGAUAAUCUGCAUUACAGACAAAUGCAUUCCAGUUUGUGGUACCCGAAUAAGGGGUACUACGUAAGAACCACCAGUGUCACUGAUGUGCAGCUGGUUGGGACGCGGCGAGAUGAACGCAUUGACGUCAUACCAAAAAUCAAGCCCUAAGAUCACAUCAAACACAUCCAUAGGGGCGAUUGUGAAGUCAGUCUGCCCUGUCCAAUCUCCUAAGUCAAUUGGAACUUCAGGUGCAAAGCCAUGGACGGUAGUCGGAGUGGGGUUGACUGUCUUCAAUUUUGUUUUGCUGGCCACAUAACUUAGGCCAAGCUCCUUGGCCUUCUGUUCAGUCACAAAAUUGUGAGUUGCCCCUAUGUCUACCAUGAUCCGCAAGUCUUUGCCGUUCAACUUGGAAUCGACGAAGAGUGCCUCUCGCGGACUGACACUAGCUGGUUUGGCAGCCAAAGCAGUAAUGGAAAUGUGGCUGAUAAGCGCCAUAUGAUUGAACAUGCCCACGGACACGUUCUUGCCUUUGUCUGAUCUGCAACUCUACCCACGCUGCUCACCGGCAGAACUUCUAGCUUGCGUUGCAGCCUUUUUUUGCUGCCUUUCAGCAGCCACCAUAGCGCCCAGCUUCCUCAAUGAUGGACAGUACCGAGCAGGGUGGGUCGUAUCCCCACAGAUGUAACAACCUUCCCACUGAGGAGCACCCCUCUUGCGGUCCUCAUAAUUUUUCCAGAAAUUUGAAGGUUGGUCACGAGCGUUGCUUCUCGCGUCGCUGCCUCUGGGAUUCGGUUUGAUCCUGUUCCUGUUGUUGUUGUCGACCUUGGGAGGAAUAGUUUUGCUCCUAUUAUCCCUCCCUUUUGCCGCAUCAGCAAAGAAAUCGUUGAGCGAUUCCGCCACUACGAUCGCCUCAUCUACGUCAUGCACUUGACAUCUUUGCAGCUCCUGCUUGGCCCAAUUUUGAAGGCCAUCUAGAAAGUAAAACAGUACUUCCUCACCCGUCAGGAUAGAAAUUUGAAGUGUUAACUUCGUGAAUUCCUUAACAUAAUCCCGAAUGGAGAAGGUCUGCUUUAACUCCCUCAACCACCGACGGGCUUCGUGAACAACGUUUUGGGGGUUGAACUGCCAUUUGAGCUCAGCUGUGAACUGCUCCCAAUCAUCAAUCUGGCAAGCCCCCCUUUCCAUAUCUGCUUUCUUCCAUCGCCACCACAGCAUGGCUAUGUCUGUCAAGUACAUAGCUGUCGUUCUGAUCUUGGCAGCUUCGCUGUGCAUGUUAACGUGUUCGAAAUAGGCAUCCAUCUGCCAUAUGAAGUUCUCCACGUCUUGAGCACUCCUUUCCCCACAAAAUUCUUUUGAUUUAGGAGCCUCAAUAUGGGUUUCUCGGACUGUAACGGGGAGCAACCCCCACCUCGAACGCCUCAUCGACCUGUCGACUCAAAGCCUCCACCUCUCUUUGAAAGGAAGAGUUGGCCUCGUUGACCUUGAGUUCAAGGGCGGACAGACCCUCUUUUUGAACAUCCUCAAGUUUAACCAGGUUGUUUUCAUCUCGUCCAGUCCUUCAAUGGCUACGGACUCGAGGGAACUGAAAUUGUUUUCAACCACCACAAUCCUCAUGUUCAAGGCCGACAACCCCACCUCAACUCCGACGAUUCUCUCAUCGAGUGGGUUGUUGUUUGACCUCCUUCUUCUUCACCAGCAACUCUACCAACAAGAAAAGGGUUGCAAGAGGGCUCUCUUACCUUGCUCUUGUCACGUUUCUUGGAAGGUUCCUUCCGAACUUCAGGCUCCUUGUCUUAGACAGCCUCUUCAUUACGUUGUGACUUCGAAGAAAUGCUUCAACUACUGCUCUGAUACCACUUGUCACUGGGUCAAUUUUCGCACCUCGUGGGAUAGUCAAGAAGGCUUGCACGGCUCCUAUAAAAUUCAGUCCAACCAAACACAAACGGAACGGAAGCAAGACAGUCCCCAAACAUCCACAAACAAUGAAAGGAAAACAAGAAAGAAACCAAGUCUUUGGGAGGCCAACAAGCCAAUUUUCCAAUAAUCUUCCAAGAGUUUUUAUAAGAGGGAAAAUACAAGUAAGGGAGAAAACAAGGAGUAUUCUAAGUAUUCUAUGUGGUAAAUCUUUCUAAGGCAAUGUACAAGGCUUCUAAGUAAGCCCCAAAACGUUUGGCCUCAAGCUUCAAAGAGAAGGCUCCUUGUGGCAGAUUUUCUAAGGCUGGAAAAGAGGCAGUUUUGUCUUCCCUGCUUUACUGCCACCUGGCAGACUGGCUGCACAGAUUUUUGUCUUCAAGCAUUUGGUUGGCUUGAUGAGCAUGGCAAGUUCCUUCUUUGUUGUAAGGCACCUCCAUCAAUUGGCCAAGAGUUUGGCAAGGCUUUAGACCCUCCGAUUUUGUGAUAAGAUGCUUCUGCUUUGUUGGAGAUUUUAGAUUUUAAUGUACCACCUUGCGGGGCGGUACACGCUCCCCCGCCUGAAUUGGCGACGACUCCGACGCCACACAACUGCAAGUACUGAUGGUACUUGUUGCAAAAUUGCCACAAGUCCUCGUAUCUCUCCCAAGUCGCCUCCUCCGGUGUUGUUCCCUUCCAGUGAACUAGGAAUUGUGAACUAGAAUUGUUCCAGCCUUUCCCAUGAACAAGCUGGUGAUCGAUGAUAGCCUCAAUCUGUUUGUCUACUGUCGGCGGCGUGAUGAAGAUUCUGGCCCUCUCGGACUGCCCCCGUUCCUUGUCUUCGAAAUAAGGCUUUAUUGGCUUGCGUGGAAGACAUGGUAAAUCUUCAAGUGAUGAGGCAUGUCAACCCGUUAAGAAAUUUUGCCAGCCUUGGCAAUAAUCUCGAAUGGUCCCUCGUAUUUGCGAAUCAAAUUCUGAUUCACGCUUCGCAGCGACUUGAAUUGCCUGGGAUUGAGUUUCACCAUAACUCGAUCCCCAACCUGAUAAUCCACUGGACGUCGCUUACGAUCAGCAAAUUUCUUCAUCUUUCGGGCAGCCUUGUCAAGGUACGACCGUGCAAGGUCAACUUGUUCUUCCCUGGCCUUGGCCAUCUGAUAGGCACAUGGACUUUUGAAACCGGCGUCGACGGGCAAGGAUUGGGGCGUGUUAGGCUGCUGCCCCGUUACUAACUCUAACGAACUCAUUCCCGUCGCCUCACUGCGCUGCAAGUUGUACGAGAAUUGGGCAGUAUCCAGCAGUCUUUCCCAAUCCUUCUGAUUGGCACUAACAUAGUGCCGCAAGUAGCAUUCCAACAGUGCAUUGAUCCUCUCCGUCUGCCCGUCUGUUUGAGGGUGGAAGCUUGUCGAGAAAUGCAACUCCGACCCCAAUAAGCUAAACAAUUCCCUCCAGAAUGAGUCAGUAAACCGAGGAUCCCGGUCGCUGAUGAUAUGUUUAGGAAUGCCCCAGUACUUAACCACAUCACGCAAAAAGAUCCGGGCAGCUUCUUUGGCUUUGCAGUUGGCCGUCAUGGCAGUGAAUGUCGCAUAUUUAGAGAAGCGAUCCACCACGACCUUUAUUGUCCCAAACCCCUCUAAGUUUGGCAAGCAGGUUAUAAAGUCCAUGGUGACGCUAUCCCAAGGCUUUUCAGCAAUGGGAAGCGGCUCAAGCAGUCCGCCUGGUACCUUAGUUUCUACCUUGUCCUGUUGACAAAUAAGGCACGUUCGCACGUAGGCCUCGACGUCGUCCCGCAUCCGAGGCCAAUAGUAAGAAGCUUCAAUUAAGGCCAAGGUCCUCUUCUGCCUCGGGUGACCAGCCCAAGCAGAGUCGUGGCCUUCUUUAAUCAAUGUACGCCGAAGGUUAGCCCACUUCGGAACGUACACACGCCUGCGUGUUGUAUAGAGCAGGCCGCCUUCUUCCCAAAAUUUCUCUGUCCUGCCUUGUUGGGCUAAGGCAAAGAGUUGCUUGGCAACUAGAUCAUGCUGUAACCCCUCCUUUAUGUCAUCAACAAGUGAGUUGCAACUCGAGCUCACAAUGGCAGCCAAAGAUGUCUUGCGGCUAAGGGCGUCAGCAACCACAUUCGCUUUCCCCGGUUUGUACUCCAGAGUGAAGUCAAAUUCUGCUAAGAAGUCUUGAAAUCGGGCUUGCUUAGCGGACAACUUCUUUUGGGAUUGGAAAUAUGUCGUCGCGACGUUGUCCGUCUUGACGACAAAGUGAGCUUCCAGCAAGUAAUGGCGCCACGUUCUCAGGCAGUGAACCACAACUGCUAUCUCCUUCUCAUGAGCUGAAUACCGCCGCUCUGCUUCAUUCAACUUUCUGCUCUCAUAGGCUAUCGGGUGGCCCUGUUGCAUUAGGACACCACCGAUGGCAAAGUCUGAUGCAUCAGUGUGGACUUCGAAUGCCUUGGAGAAGUCUGGCAAGGCCAACACAGGCUCUUCCAUCACAGCACCCUUCAGCCUCUCGAAGGCAGCUUGGCAAGCCCCCGACCAAUUCCAAUCGCGGUCUUUCUUCAGCAAGUCCGUGAGAGGAGCUGCAAUUGCUGAAUAAUUGAAGAUUAAGCGAAAAUAGUAAUUGGCAAGGCCAAGGAAGGACCUCAAUUCUGGUACCAUCGUUGGAGUCUCCCAAUUCUUGAUAGCAUCUAUCUUGUCGCUGUCCAUUCUGAUCUCACCGUGGCUGAUAGUAUGCCCAAGGAAAUGGACCGUCGAUUGGGCAAAGCUGCAUUUCUCACGCUUCACGUACAGUUCGUUGUCGCGCAAGACUUCGAAAACUUUGUACAAGUGCUCUACAUGGUCCUCCAUGUUGUUGCUGUAGACAACAAUAUCAUCCAAAUAAAUGACAACAAACUGAUCCAAGUAGGAGUGGAACAGUUUGUUCAUCAGUGUGCAGAAUGUCGCUGGUGCGUUCGUCAACCCAAAUGGCAUUACCAGCCAAUCGAAGGCACCAUAGCGCGUUACACAAGCAGUCUUUGGUUCAUCACCUUCGGCAAUCCGAACUUGGUGAUAACCCUUUCUCAAAUCCAUCUUGGUGAACACCUUUGCCUGUCCCAACCUGUCGAACAAAUCCGUAAUCAAAGGAACGGGGUACUUGUUCUUCACCGUGACCUUGUUGAGGUCCCGGUAGUCAAUGCAUAACUGCAGCAUCCCGUCCUUCUUCUUUUGGAAUAGAACAGGUGCACCAAACGGCGCCUUUGACGGCCUGAUGUGUCCAGCAUCCAGCAACUCCUUGAGCUGCUUCCUUAACUCCUCCAGUUUCGGGGGCGCCAUGCGAUAAGGCGUCAUGGCAGGCGGCUUUGCUCCUGAAACUAGCUCAAUUUGGUGAUCAACUUCCCUUCGGGGUGGCAGCCGUUGGGGAAGUUCUGUUGGCAUCACGUCCUUGUUGUUGCUAAGGACUUGUUCGAUGCAAGGCGGCAAUGGAACUGAUGUGCAACCCUUGGCUCGCCUCUCUUAAAGCCCUUGAUAAUCUGCAUUGCCGACAAAUGCAUUCCAGUUUGUGGUACCCGAAUAAGGGGUACCAUGCAAGAACCACCAGUGUCACUGAUGUGUAGCUAGUUAUGACGCGGCGAGAUGAACGCAUUGAUGUCGUACCAAAAAUCAAGCCCUAAUAUCACAUCAAACACAUCCAUAGGGGCAAUUGUGAAGUCAGUCUGCCCCGUCCAAUCUCCUAAGUCAAUUGGAACUUCAGUCGCAAAGCCAUGGACGGUAGUCGGAGUGGGGUUGACUGUCUUCAAUUUUGUAUUGUUGGCCUCAUAACUUAGGCCAAGCUCCUUAGCCUUCUGCUCAGUCACAAAAUUGUGAGUUGCCCCUGUGUCUACGAUGAUCCGCACGUCUUUUUCCGUUCAACUUGGCAUCGACGAAGAGUGACUCUCGCGGACUGACACUAGCUGGUUUGGCAGCCACAAUGGAAAUGUGGCUGAUAAGCGCCAUAUGAUUGAACAUGCCCACGGCCACGUUCUUGCCUUUGUCUGAUCCGCUACUCUGCCCACGUUGCUCACCGGUAGAACUUCCAGCUUGUGUUGCAGCCUUUUCUUGCUGCCUUUCGGCAGCCACCAUAGCGCUCAGCUUCCUCAAUGACGGACAGUACCGAGCAGCGUGGGUCGUCUCCCCACAGAUGUAACAACCUUCCCACUGAGGAGCACCCCUCUUGCGGUCCUCAUAGUUUUUCGAAAAAUUUGAAGGUUGGUCAUGAGCGUUGCUUCUCGCGUCGCUGCCUCUGGGAUUCGGCCUGGUCCUUUUCCUGUUGUUGUUUUCGACCUUGGGAGGAAUAGUUUUGCUCCUAUUAUCCCUCCCUUUUGCCGCAUCAGCACAGAAAUCGUUGAGCGAUUCCGCCACUACGAUUGCCUCAUCUACGUCAUGCACUUGUCGUCUUUGCAGCUCCUGCUUGGCCCAAUUUUGAAGGUCAUCUAGAAAGUAAAACAAUAAGUCCUCACUCGUCAGGAUAGGAAUUUGAAGUGUUAACUUCGUGAAUUUCUUAACAUAAUCCCGAAUGGAGGAGGUCUGCGUUAACUCCCUCAACCUCCGCCGGGCUUCGUGAACGACAUUUUGGGGUAGAACUACCGUUUGAGCUCAGCUUUGAACUGCUCCCAAUCAUCAAUCUGGCAAGCCCCCCUCUCCAUAUCUGCUUUCUUCUGUCGCCACCACAGCAUGGCUGUGUCUGUCAAGUACAUAGCUGUCGUUCUGAUCUUGGUAGCUUCGCUGUACAUGUCAACGUGUUUGAAAUAGGCAUCCAUCUGCCAUAUGAAGUUCUCCACGUCUUGAGCACUCCUUUACCCACCAAAUUAUUUCGGUUUAGGAGCCUCAAUACGGGUUUCUCGGACUGUAACGGGAGGAGCAACCCCCACCUCGGCAGCCUCAUAGACCUGCCGUCUCAAAGCCUCCACCUCUCUUUGAAGGGAAGAGAUGGCCUCGUUGAGCUUGAGUUCAAGGGCGAACAGACCCUCUUUUUGAACAUCCUUAAGUUCAACCAGGUUGUUUUCACCUCGUCCAGCCCUUCAAUGUCUACGGACUCGAGGGAACUGAAAUUGUUUUCAACCACCACGAUCCUCAUGUUCAAGGCCGACAACCCCACCUCAACUCUGACGAUUCUCUCAUCGAGUGGGUUGUUGUCCGCACCUCCUUCUUCUUCACCAGCAGCUCUACCAACAAGAAAAGGGUUGCAAGAGGGCUCUCUUACCUUGCUCUUGUCACGUUUCUUGGAAGGUUCCUUCCGGACUUCAGGCUCCUUGUCUUAGACAGCGUCUUCAUUACGUUGUGACUUCGAAGUCAUGCUUCAACUGCUGCUCAGAUACCACUUGUCACGGGGUCAAUUUUCGCACCUCGUGGGACAGUCAAGAAGGCUUGCACGGCUCCUCUAAACUUCAGUCCAACCAAACACAAACGGAACGGAAGCAAGACAGUCCCCAAACAGCCACAAACAAUGAAAGGAAAAGAAGAAAGAAACCAGGUCUUUGGGAGGCCAACAAGCCAAUUUUCCAAUAAUCUUCCAAGAGUUUUUAUAAGAGGGAAAAUACAAGUAAGAGAGAAAACAAAGAGUAUUCUAAGUAUUCUAUGUGAUAAAUCUGUCUAAGGCAAUGUACAAGGCUUCUAAGUAAGCUCCAAAACGUUUGGCCCCAAGCUUCAAAGAGAAGGCUCCAUGUGGCAGAUUUUCUAAGGCUGGAAAAGAGGCAGUUUUGUCUUCCCUGCUUUACUGCCACAUGGCAGACUGGCUGCACAGAUUUUUGUCCUCAAGCAUUUGGCUGCCCUGAUGAGCAUGGCAAGUUCCUUCUUUCUUGCAAGGCACCUCCAUCAGUUGGCCAAGAGUUUGGCAAGGCUUUAGACCCUCCGAUUUUGUGAUGAGAUGCUGCUGCUUUGUUGGAGACGUUGGAUUUUAAUGUACCGCCUUGCGGGGCGGUACAGAAGGAGUGUGGAAGGAUAUUUGUAGAGGCUAAAGCUUGAAGAGAGAAUUCCCAGCUUGUUCUCUUCAGUAUUAAUAAGCAUGUCACGGUAGCUAAAAUACUCAGAAAGAACAAAAUACCCUUAAUUAAGAUGUAUCUAUCUAGGAUUAGUAAUAAGACAAGUCGAAGGAUUUCUCUACGGUCAUCAGAUCGAGGAUGACAGAAUAAUGUUGAUAAGGGUAUGCUUAUGGAGAGGAAAGCAUCUAACAAAGUGAUGAUUUUUCAUCGUAUGCUUUCUUAAGGCUUUUUAAAGUUUAUUACGUAAUUUUCUUAAAAGCAGAUUAGUAAGAGGAAAUAAUUGAUGUUUGUUAAGUUGUUGUUGCAUGUGUUAGUCACAAUGCUUGGGAUGAUCACCUACUACUGCAUUAUAAUUUAUGGACCUUCUAUUUUAUAUAGCUUAGGUUCUCUCAAACAGUGGUGAAAUUCUAUGGCCUUUGUAGUGUGCUUUAGAGAUUUUUUACUUCAUCUGUAUUUUGGUUGGACUUGUUAGGGAAUACAUAUAUUAUAACUUAUUUUUCACUUGUAUUUUAUUUAGUAUGAUGAUAAUAUGAUAUGAGAUUAAUGAAGAAAUGGGAUUCAUAUACUUGUUUGGGACUGAGGCAUAGUUGUUAUCGUUGUCGAAUUAGUCAUGUCAUGAUUUUGUAUGGGAUGACACUUGUUUUGGUAUAUUAAUCAACCAAAAGAUUUUUUAUUUAUCAAAGAGAAGUAUACCUGUAUAUAUUUUGCAAGAAAGUACUUAUGCAGAAUAUUUUUCUCAGUUCUUUCAGCUUCUGGUGGACCAUCUGAAGAUGAGUAAUGGUAUUACUUCAUUUGUACUUUGGACUUGUUAGGGAAUACAUCAAAUACCUUUCUUUGAUGUGUUUGUCAAUCACAGCUUGUUUACUUUCAGUUAUUUGUGACACACUCGCAAAGAAAUUCAUUAUUAUGCUUGUUGAUGCAGAUGUAGUAUAUUAGUUGGUUUGUUUAGCUUACAGCAUUAUGGCAUAGGCAGUGUGGGUUAGUUGCUUUGGUUUCUCUUAGUAGGAGGUAUUGGUAUCUAUAACAUCCUGUUUUGCGAGCUUUUUCUCCUGUCUACAUAUAUCGGUAUUUUAAAAGAGAUGGUUGGACAUCAUUGGAGGGGAUCAUGCUCAGCAUUACAGGUUUUUUCCUCUUGCCCUCUGUUCAAACAUCUUCUUUUUUUUUUUGUUAUUUGUUAAUACUUAUUACAGCUCCAAGGUACUUAUAAUUGCUAUUUCAGGAACAGAAGCACUUUUUGCUCAUUUUCCAGUGUCAGCAAUACAGCUUGGUUUCACGGUCAUUGUUUUCCCUUGCCUUCUUUUAGCUUAUUCUGGACAUGCAAAAUACGGAUAAUGAGACACAAAUGAUUUCUUUUCCAUGUAACAAGGCUAUAAGGAUUCAUUUUCCAUGUAUUGGGUAGGACAGGAUCUCUGAAUAUGGGGCGGGAGGUUGUGGCUUGGAAACGUGUACAUAAAUUCCUAAAUACUCUGAUCAUGUAACGUUCAUAUUGUUUGCACAUUUACUAUGUUUAUAAUACAGUCUCUGUGGAUUACCAUUUCCGCCUACCUUUGAAGAAAAAAGAGGGAAACAAAGUAGAAUUAUGAAGGAAGAUAUGGUAGUGGUAAAAGGUUACUAAAAAUAAUCUUUUUUUUCUUGAUGCAGAAAGCAUAUACUGGCCAGUUUUUGUCAUUGCAACUUUAGCUGCUAUUGUUGCCAGUCAGGCUACCAUAUGCAAGCUCUAGCACUUGGCUGUUUCCCAGGAGUAAAGGUUGGGCAUAUAUCAAAGAAGUUCUUGGGGGCAGAUAUAUAUUCCUGAUAUUAAUUGGAUUCUUAUGGUUCUUUGCAUUGCCGUUACUGCUGGAUUUAAAAAUCAAAGCCAAAUAGGCGAUGCUUACGGUGAGUUUGUGCCUUACAUCUAAUAUUUCUUGAUUCCUUUGGCAUUUUAAACAUGCAAAGACAGAUUUCAGUCUUGAUAAGAUUAAAUUUCUGAGGGGACACUGAUUGACUAUAAAUAUAUUUCUGUUUGUUGUCUUCCUUUAUGUAUGGUCCUAAUUAGAAGUUCAUAUGUUAUAGAGUUACAUGCACCCUCGAGCUGAUGCAUUGUAGGUUGCUGUACUGAAGUUACAAGUUUGUUGAAGUAGUGAACUAAACAAACUUUCAAAUUUGGCCCCAACACUUCAAUUCUGAGAGCUUACAUCUAGACACUUGCAGACAAUAUAAUGAAUGCAACUGUUCCAGUACACAGUGGAGACGUGUCUAAAUGUGCAUAUGAGUGUUUACUUAUCAACUAUAUAUAAUAUGUCUUGCUUAUAUACAAGAAAGAUGAUACAAUAAAUAUACUUCAUUACGCCUGUAAUUAUUCACUUUGUUCCCCUCUAAGCUAAUGAAGAAAAAGUGAGGAGAUGAUCUAUUUACACCUUUCCGUUUCUGAGUUAUUUUAAGAGGAGCAAUUUUUUUAUCUAAUCUCCUCAGCUAACUCCAAAUAACAGGUAAAAAUGAUAAUUAUUAAUAUCACCAAGAAUAUUACAUUUCGAUUUAUCACAGAUACAAAAUGAUGUUUUACAUAUAUAAAAAGUUUUUCAUGUUUCCCAUAUAAUGUUGUUUCAGAAUCUAAAGGAGACCACUCUCCUCUCUCUGAAUAAUACAGAAUAAACAGGGUAUACUUGUAAAAGAAACUUUCAUGCAGAUACCAAGAAAGAAGGGACAGACACCAUGCCAUCACUUGGGUGGAUGAGCUUGCGGUCUUGUUGGACAGGCAGCAGCCAUGGUACGUAACCGUCUGGCAAUUUCAGUGAAAGAUGGGCGGAUGGCAGGAUCUGGAGCCCAACACUGUUCCAUGAGCAUUCUCCACUCAGUGUCACAGAAGCUUGGCACAGGCGGUCUCAAUGUGUUGUUGACAAUACCACCUGCAUUAAUUUCCAGACUUGAUAUAUUAAAUGGUUUACUAAAUAAGAGAUUAGCAGGAAUAGGAACUAGCACUAAAAAUAGUUGAACCAUGUUGAGCUUCAAUGUCUUUUACUAAUAUUGGCACUUACAGAAUGCCCUUGCAGAUAUGGUAAAACAUCAAUUAACAUCUUAGUGGCUUUAGAAAACCCAAAGUUUUGAUCAGGAAUUUCUAGAUAUUGAUUAUUAGUAGAAUUUUUUGUAAGAAUGUAGAAAUUAGUGGGGUAUAAAAUUGAAGUGCAUAUAUUUGCUAAAUAUGUCUAUACUGCUGUGUUUUCACUUUCCAGUAAAAAAGCAACCUUCUGUUCCUUACUUCUAGAAUGGACUCUGAAACUCCUGCCUCAUCCUUCAUUAAGGCAGCACUUAGAAGGAAAUAUAGGACAUAACAAGCAACUUCUUGUCAGAUGCAGACAGCAAUGGCAGCACACACUGCAAUGGGCGAUAUAAAGAGAAAAAUGUUGGAAGGGAUAGAGUAAUAUAAACCUAUAAUUGCUCCAUAAUGCAUAUUUGCAUAAGGUUCUUCGCCAGUGAGGAUUUCCCAGAGCACAAUCCCAAAGGAAAAGACGUCGACCUGCAAAGUUCAAAAUUUGUUACUAUGAAUGGCAACUAGGCAUCAAGGAUUAAAAUUGUUUCAUGAUUUAUUCUAUCUUAAAUAUAGAACUCACGCUGAUGAAGUUACAGUGGAACAACAUUUCAAAGGGAAGAUAGCAGUGUUGCGAGAAAAUGCAGAAGCUAUUGUACACAAAAGUUUAGGCGCAAAACUAAUGAACAGGAGAGACCACAUAAUGCACAAAAAUUUUGUAUUUGUAGAUAUUUGAAGCCAGACCUUUCUUAGGGUGCUGAUAAAUGUAAAGUCCAUUUUCAAAACAAAAAGAGAGACCACAUAAUUCAUUGGAUUCUUGAAGUUGGCAAGCAUUUUAUAACAGCAUGUUGAGUUAAUAAGCAUUAAGCACCAACAUCCCCCACAUGAAGUGAAAAAAAAUGACGUCUAAAAUAGACUAUAAGUUCAGCGUUCACAUUUGAAGUUUUAAACGUAAAAGAGGAAUUGAAAGCUUACCUUCUCGGAAACCUUAUUACUUCCACCAUUCAAUAGCUCUGGAGCCAUCCAUGGAAGCGUUCCCCUGACACCACCAGUAACCAAGGUAUUUCUCUUGAUUUUUGACAGCCCAAAAUCAGCCACCUACACAACACAAUUUCCAUCAGUUCUGCACUGAUCCCUCUACGGUAUCUUUGUUGUCCUUUAGUUGAUGAAGAUUCAAGGGAUCGUUUGGUAGAUGUAUUAGAAGAAAUAAUGCAUGCAUUAGCUUUGUGUAUUAGUAGUACCUUGUUUGGUACAUUUUUUCAACCUAUGUAUAGCUAAUGCUUGCAUUAGUUAUACAUUCUAUUGUGUAUUGAGUGUAUUUUCGUACGAAUACAUGGAAAUUCAUGGUAUUAGUAAUGCAAGAGGGUUCAAUGUAUGCAUUAUCAUGGUUAGAGACCCAAUCGCCCCUCAAUUUUUUUUACAUGUUAUCACCAUACUUGUGGAGGGUAUCUUUGUAAAUAAUUUUUUUUAAAAAAACUAUACAAUACAUACUAUUUUUAAUACACCAAACAAAACAACGCAUAAGCAAUAAUGCAAGCACAACUAAUUCAAGCAUUACUAAUACACUUUAUUCAAAAUUAUUCUUAUACAUUCUAUCAAACGAUCCCUAAGGGGUCAUUUGGUAGAGUGUAUUAAAAUGAAUAAUGCAUGCAUUAGCCUUGUAUAUUACUAGUACCUUGUUUGGUACUCCUUUCCAACCUAUGUGUAACUAAUGCUUGCAUUAGUUAUACACCCUAUUAUGUAUUAAGGUGUGUAUUGUUAAUACCAUGGAUUUCUAGGUAUUAGCAAGGCAAUGGUUUUAAUGGAUGUAUUAAUUCAAUCAAAGACCCAAUUGCCCCUGAAUACCUUUUUAUAGCUUUUCCAUAUCUUUGUAAACACAUUUUUUUAUGCAAUGCAUUCUAUAAACAAUGCAUAAAAAUAACCUAUGUAUAAGAAUCUAGCCAAGGAAGCAGUUUUGACAUUGGAUAAUGUGGCCAAGAGAGGAAUCUCUCUAUGCAACAGAUGUUACUUUUGUGGGAAGGCAAAUGAGACUGUGAGACAUCUCUUCUUACAUUGUAACUUUACUGGGCAGCUGUGGCAGAUUUUCCUUAAUCUCAGAGGCAUAACUUGGUGUAUGCCUAGCAAAAUUGAUGAGACUCUAUUCGGUUGGGAUAUGGCUGGAGUUGGGGCUACAAACAGAGAAAGAUGGCGGAUGAUCCUUGCUAGUAUUUGGUGGACUAUAUGGGGAGAGAGAAAUGAGAGACGUUUUGAGAAUAGGAACAACGACCUGCAGGAAGUUAAGCUUAAGUGUAUUCUGUUAUUCUGCUUUCGGUGUACAAAAUGUCUACUCUAAUGAAACUGAGUCAAUCAUAGAUGUUUUAGGAUCCAUUUAGAUUUGGUUCAAUUUUUUAGAUAGAUUAUACUUCCUUUCUGCUUUUGUAAAUAUUGUUUCUCAGUACUACCUAAGUACUAUGUGAAAUACAAUAUUACCAGUUUCAAAAAAUAAUCUAUGAAUAAAUUAAUGCAAGCAUAAUUAAUACAUGCAUUACUAUUGCAAUAAUUACUAAUACACUAUUUAGCAUUAUUUUUAUACACUACCAAACGACCCCCAACUGUCAUAAUAAACUUGUAUCAAGUAUGAUGAGUGGUUAUCAAAGUGACUGAAGAGGUUGUUUGAAGUUCGGUGCUAGGAACUGUUUAUGCAUUUAUUAAGCUAGUAAUACAGAAAAGAGUAAAAAGUCAACCUUAGAUCUAGAAAGCAUGCACCAAUUACAGAAAUCACAUUAUUAUUAGGUAUUGAGUCCUCCUAUGGUAUUCCACCUGUUGCUUGGUUUAGGUUUACAUUAUUAUUAGGUAUUAUGAAUCCUCGUGGGAUUUCACAGGGUAUGUUGUUGUUGUUGGAUGGUUGUAUCUGGCAAUAAUAGCUUGGACCAUUGCAGGAUUAACUGCAUUUCAUAUGUUUUGGAUGUACUACUUUCGAAGGGUAUGACUAAUAUAUUGGUUAAUACACUGAAUAUGAUCAUCAGACUCAUAUGCUACAGAAAGAAAAAGCAUAUUGUCACAUUUCAAAUCAAAACCAGCACAUUCUUGCAAAUGCAGAAUCCAUUGAAAGAACUCAAAAGCAGCACAUUCUUGAAGGUCACCUUACAAAUGGGUCGAGAAGGAUCCUUUAAGUUGACAAGCAAAUUGUCACAUUUCAGAUCAAAAUGCACAAUAUUCUUCGAGUGCAAAUAUUCCAUUCCAAAUGCAGCAUCCAUUGCAAUUAUGAGCCUCUUGCGACGAUCAAGGUGUCUGGACAGUUCAAGUAGGGAGGAGAACGUAAUAAGUUUUCAUGAAAAAAAAAAGAGAAAACAAAAAGAAUAAUUUAAGUGUACUAUCCAGUAUUCCCACACCUGUCCUUGCAAAGUAAAACAUGCCUAAGAGAACCAUUCACCAUGAACUCUGCUACUGUGGCAAGAGUCCCUCCUGGCCCAUCUUUCACUACACCAUAAAAUGCCACCACAUUGGGAUGAUGAAGUUUUGAAAGAAUUUCAGCUUCACGCCAAAACUCAGUCUGGAAAUAGUUCCCAAGUUCUGUCACGAAAUAGCUAGAGGAAAGAAAGCAGAAACAUGACCAAUAUAUGUACUUAAAAGCUCCUACUUACCAGUUAAAAGGUGUAUUUUUUAACCAAAAAAAUCUAUGUAUUCAAAAGCUUCUAUAAGUUUUUCAUUUUACAAAAUUCUAAACUGCAAUGAAGCUCUCUACCUGACUCUUUUUGAACUGCAACAAAAGCCAUUUCAAGUAUGUAUAUAGUAGCUUGGAAUAAUAUCAAGUAUCAAUUAGGUGUAGGAUUUACGUUUAAUCUCAUAAAUCAAGAGUCAACAUGAAAAUACUUCACAACUUCUACCACGAUAUAUACAGUGCAAACAGCAUGGUUUUUCUACCAAGGGCAACACAACAUUCUUUUUGGGGAUUUUUGUUCAACACCAACAAUACUGAAGUGUUCGAGUGGUGGAUAUUUUGGGUUUUGGGGCAAAAGGAUUGCCUCGUCAUCUCCCAACUAGGAGAUGAUUGUACUGAUAUUUUAUAACUAUUUACCUUCUUCUAGUUUAAUAUUAACAAUUGCAGUUUAAGAUGAAACUCACCAAUCUCUCCUGCUCUGAUGACCGACCUGUGAAACAGGUUUUUUUUAUUCUCUUGAUGGCAACAUCAGUCCCUCUCCAUUUUCCAUGAUAUACGGUCCCAAAUGUUCCAGAUCCUAAUUCCUUUAACUCUUCAAGAUCUUCAUUACUGAUUAUCUAUAACGGAAUGAAAGCAAGUUAACAACAAAGAUUGACAGAAAGAAUAGCUACAAGUACCCAUUUAAGCCCGAACUACUUUUAAAGAUGUUUGAUUGACUAUAAUGAAUGUACUUCAUUAAAAAAAGUGGCUACAAUGAACGUAUGAGAAUAGACUAAUAAAAUGUAGGAAACAAUCUAUAUACAAGCCAUAUGCAGAAACAAAAAGCAGUAAGAAUGACAAGCUCUCUCCUCCCCAACCCCAACCAACCUCCCACAAAGCACACAAUCAAAAACGAGAAAACAAUCCGCCACUUCUGAGGGCCUUCUCAUAUGAGAUUUCAUUUUGAUGGCUUCUAAAGAUCACUGGCUCCUUUAUUUUCUUGGGAUGCUUAUGAAGUUUGAAAUUUUCAAGGUUACAUCAACCUUCCAUUCAAAGAGACCUCUCGUGUGAUAAUUACCGAUUUUUUGUUCCCUUGUACAGCAAUACAACUGAUGUACCUACCAUGUUCGUUGUAUUUAAGAGUGCAAAAGGACGCGGUCCUUCACUUUCCACCUAUUACUGUGGUUCUUUGUUAUUUGGAAACCAUCUUAACUACAUAUAAUAUUCACUGCCAAAGGCUAAUAUUAAUAUACUUGCCUCAUUAAACCUCUGGUAUGUUCAAUUCAGUUGGAUCAUAUUUCUACCCCCGAGUAGUUUCUGGUAAUAUCAUAGAACUUUUUUCUUUUUCUUUUUUAAUUGGAUAUCAUAGGCCUUAAAACCAGCAUUGUAAUAGAUCCUCCUUCCCCUUAAUGUAAAAUAAUGGAACCUGAAAAAGAUUCUGGUCAAAACUACUGGAAUAUCCGCAUGAGUAGUAUAUCCAAUUCAGUUGAAAGACUAAAGGAGGUCAGUCUCGGGAAAAGUGCCUGAGCAUUUUUUCAGAAAUUUAGCAUUAAGAAAGGGUGAUGUAUUAUAAGUAAAUAAUUAGUGAAGUAGCAUCAUUCGUCUCCUCUUACUUCCUUCCAAGUACUUCUUUCCAAAAGUAGCCUUCUUUCUCUUUUUAAUUAUCAGGCAUCUAUUAUACCUAUAUUCAACCACCAAUAAAAAUACAUAUUUCACCAUGAAACAAAAGAUAAUAAAAAUUACUAGCUAAUGUCCACAGUACCUGCAAAGUGCUGGGAUCAAAGUCUCCAAGCGGGAGAUUGGUAAGCGGAAAGCCAGCAUUCUGAGCUCCUUGGUUCUCAUCCUUCAUGUUAUAUAAAAGGAUUUACUUCACCAUAUUAGCAUGUUACUGGAAAAUACAAUAAUUUCAAAUUGAAGCAAAAUAAUGCAGCUAGAAAUCUGAACUACUAAAAAAUACCUGAUAACCCGAUUCAGGUACUUUUGAACUCAAUUCAACAUCAUACUGCAUACUUUGAACGUCAGCGGUUUGAGAAGGGUUGUACCCGGAAGGCAAAUCCAUGGUGUCUGGGACAACAAUUUCAGGAGAUGCUUGCUGGAAUUCAGCUUCAAUAUUGAGCUGAGAGUCCAUAUGAUCUAUCAUUGGUCCAUCACCCUUGAAAGGAGGAUAGCCAUAAUCCAUAGAGACCCCAUCAUCAACAUUUGCACGAGUAGAAGACACACAAAGAUGAUCCUGAUCCAUCAAAGAGACAUUUCUUCUAUCAAAAUCACCUUGAGCUAUCUUUUGGAAAAAGGACCAGUUCUUUGGUUCAUGGUUCUCCAUAUUCAAGCUCAAACCAGUUCCAUCAUUGUACAGUGGGGCAGGUAUUGGUGAGGCAUCCAUAAGCUUGGCUUUGGAAAAUAUAUCAGCGAGAAAAUCACGGGGAAAGCAGUCAUUAAUGUCAAAAAGAAUGCUUCCAUGCUCAAGUGUACCAACAGUACCAGAGGGUAUCCCUGUGGAAACUGCUGCUCCAACCUGACACUCUUUCUCAGCCAAAGAGUGUAGUUGCUCUGCUUCUUUGUUUCCCUCGGCUCCAUGUGAAGAUGCAUCACCCCAAUGAAGCUCUGUCUUCCUGGAAGCAGACUCGGACUGGAUAUUAUUACUUAAGAUAGGAUCACUUAGUCCAGAUUUCACUUUCUCUGCAUAAGUUGCAGGUUUCAGCUCAGGCUUAUAAUUUGCUUCAGAAAGUUCUCCACCAACCUUGGUAUCAACUUCUCUCGCACUGACACUUAACUCUUGAGAUUCCUGAAGUUUUACCCCUUUAUCUGCAGUAGCAUGUUGAUUAUCAGAAAAAGAUCUUCCAGAAGGUAUAAAAUGCUCAGUCUGGGGAGCCACAUUCCCAUAUCUUCCAGAAGGUACAAAAUGCUCAGUCUGGGGAGCCACAUUCCCAUCGUUCAAUUUAUUAACGGAUUCUAUGAUCUGUUGUGAGCCUUCAGAAUAUGCAUGGGCCAUUAUGAAUUGCGAGGCAGCAGAAUCAUCAGAUUUGGAUAAACGAUUAAGGCCGGGCUGUUCCCUGGGUAUCCAUUCAGAGCGAAAAGUUCGUGGAGGAAUCGAUGGUUGUUCGUAGCUAAUGUCAUGUAGGUUUGCCCCCGAGUCUCCAUAGCCAGAAUUUGAUAUUCUACCAGAUCCGGAGAAGCCAUCUUCUGUGAACCUAUCAAGUUUUUCUUCCUCAACAGCUGCAGGAGAUGCUGAACUCUGAACUUGUUCCUGACUCUUGUCACUAAUUUUAGAUUGUAUAACAUCGUUUCCAAUAACUGCUACAGAAGUGAAACUCGGAACUUCAACUCUAGAAACGUGACUUGAGGCGGAAUCAUUCAGUGUGUUUGAGGAAACAACUUUUUUGCUUUCCAAAGGCCACAUUUUUUCAGGCUCAUUUAUUUUCUGAAAAGAGCUUUCUAUCUUUAUAUUUCCCUCCUCAGGCACUUCCUUCUCUCGAGGUUUUGCUUUACUAAGUUCAAACAUCUCCCGGGGAUAGUUAUCUCUUUUCAGAUUCAC